rnacentral:lncRNA from 1 species
AUUUAAGUCCCAUGUAAGCCUUGAUCAUUACAUAGAGCAACCAAACCUGUCAUAGAAGCAGCACUAGUUUACCUUGCUUGAUAAUAUUUCAAGACAACAUUUUGACUACUGGUAAUUUUAAGAAAGGCGUACAUCAUAUAUGACAGACUAGCCAAAACUACUUUAACAUUUCGAAAUCACCAACCAAAAAUACACUAAUUCUCGUUCAAGAAAAAGACCCUACAUAAACUCCAUCCACACUAGAGACUCAGACAAACCUUUGAUCGAGAAUUUGCAUAAAACAACUCGAUACUCCACUCCAGACCCCAGUACUUGAUCGAGAAUUUGCCAAGCGGCGAGAGCUCCAUGCAUCCACCUGAGAGAAUCUGGAGGGGGAAAAGUACUGCUGCUCUUCAAGAACGAACUGGUCUCUCUACUUGGUUUUAGGUAUGAAAGUGUACAUGGCUGUGUCUCUUCUGCUUUUAGAUUCAUGCUUAAAUAAAUCAAGUUUGAGAUAAUACGGCCAAAGCAAUUACAAAAUGCCUACAUAUGAAUUUUCCGACCUAUCCAGCCUAGAGAGAUGAUUUUACACUAAUGAACGCCCAUAUUUUGUGUUCUAAAUUCUUCCAAAUGAGAAACUGCUGUCUUCUUGAAAACCUUUCCAUUGAAUCUCUUGGCUGCAAUUGACAGAUCAUUUGCUGAUUCCUCGGCAUUUGCUUUUACAAGAAAAAAGUCUCUCCCGGUCACAAAACUGUAGCUUGAAGUGGACAUCUAAAUGGUAAUCUUGAUAACAAAUCUCAUUUUUUGCUUGACUUCACAUACAGAACCACUUGCACAUGCAGUCUUCCUCCAAGCAAUUAGUGAUGGGUCCUUGGUUAAAGAAUAGCACGAUUUCAAAGCUUGUAAAGGACUAAUGCACCACAUGAGAAGAGGUCACCUUUAUCAAGAAUCCUUCAAAGAGUAUUAACAACAUGGAGCAAAUGAUAAACGCCAAUUGCAAAUAACUCUGGAAUGCCUUUCCAUACUGACAUAGCUCAUUCUUGCCCAUAUCUCCAACUCGUGGUGUUUGGGGAGUUUCUCCAGGUUUCAUCAAAUGCAGCUUUAAUCUGCAUAAGGAAGAUAACACUGACUAAUUAUAAUUAAAUGAAGAUAUCCAAGAUCAUAGCAUUAGAAUUUACCCCAUGAUAGAUAAGGUAAAAAUGCGUAAACAUUGAUACCAAUCGGAGUUAGACCACAAUGAACAGAGACUUCAUUAGCUAGCCGAUGAAAAAGAAACCAACAAACUUAAAAGAAGUAACAUUUAGCAACACUUUCCCUGUUUGUAUUUACGAACAGAAUUGAAGCUAAAAAAAUUAUGCUGAAAAGGUGAAGUGCCUAAACUACUGAACAGAAAGACGCAUUUGCCACUGGGUUAUUUUGCAAGUUCCAAUUAGCAAACUCAGCAAUGCGGGAUAGUUUGCGAGGAGGUCAAUUUCAACUUUACAAAUCCAAUGCCGCAUACAUCAGAACUGAGCUCAUCAAAUCAGAAAACUAUAUGACAACAUUCAAAGGAUGUCAUCACACCAAUAAACUAAUAGAAAUGGAGGAGCCUAGCAGUGCAUACCUCCCUUUCAGAGCCUCAUCAAUUCCGAAGUGAUAUCAUUAGAAUGCAACGGCGUCGAACAACUGUGCAUCAGGGUAACAUACAAAAAAUCAAUAGCCUAGUAAUUGAUUAAAGGAGAGCUAUAAUCUAAUGAGCAUAAAGAAAGCAUAUUUAAUUGAAAAAAAUACAUUUACUAUCCUUUAGGGAUGUGAUGUUGAGAUCAGAUCAAGUAUUUGAAUAUUCAGAAGCAUCAAAACUUCCUUGGGACACUCCAGUCAGCCCCAAAGUGUCUUUAAGUUUGGCAUGCAAGAUGGUCCUCAGCUGUUACUGAUGAUUCCUCUGCAAAAUCCCUUUUCUUUAUUUUGAUCGAUCUCAAGUAUGCAAUUUGAAGUUCCUCGGCCCACUUAGCCACACCCAAAUCAGUCACGUGAUAAAGCAAUUCCAUGACAACAAUAGGAUCAAACGGGAUACAAACUAAUUAGCAAAUUCUUGAGCUCCUCAUCCCAGCUUGUUUCACAGAUAGGCAAAAAAUUGUCCUUUAAUGCAAAAGGCCAUCGAUACAGUUGAUUGAAUUGAAGUCCCAAAGUAAGCCUAGAUCGUUAUAUAGACCAACCAAACCUGUCAUAGAAGCAGCACCAAUUUGCCUUGCUUAAUAAUCUUUCAAAACAAUAGUUUGCCUACUGGUAAUGUUAAGGUGGUCAACAUUCAUACACGACAAACUAGCCAAAACUACUUUUAACAUUUUUUUUGUCACCAACCAAAAACACUCAAACCGUGAAUUUAAUUUUAGCUCAGUUCACCAUAUAUACUGGGAAGUGAUGCUCUUCUUAGAGGGUUAAUGAGGGCCAUCAAGGGAACAAUAAGAAACUUGACAGGGUUUUCGUUCAUCACAGAAAAUCAGAAGGCGUUCGUCCUAAACAGGACAUCUGCCAUUAGUCAAAUUUGACAUACAAAAGAACUAAAGGAACUCAAAAUGGCCAAGGAUUUUGAAAAGAAAAUAUGAACUUUGGACACUGGGAAAUUUCGAGUUUAGUAUACAAUAAUACAAUAAUGAGUAGCAGAAGUUCAUUGGCCUCUAGAUGAAAAUUUCAAAUCCUGGGUUUGCUAAUAGGGGAACUGUAAAUCACUAGGUAAUUCUUGUUUACCUUUGUUGAUAUUUUCAUUAUUGCCUCGCAAGCUGCUAUCUGUUUGCAGUCUACAGAAGCUGCCAAUGGAAGGAUAAAUGAAAAACAUUGCUAUAAUGUAAUCAACAACAAUUAUACAAAGGAAAAUUUAGAGUUUCCAAAAACAAUCAAAUAGAUAUCCAGUGUGAAGCAUAUCAUUCUAAAAAAAUACAGCUUCGAGAAAAGUAUCACUAUUUGUUCACGCUGGCCAUUCAAAGGAUGGAGUAUCUUACUAUGCCUUCUAUUGACAUCAGGGUCUGCAUUUUGAUCUUGGCUAAAGCAUCAUGUCAGCUUCUACGACCAACUGCCCCACUCCUUUCAAUUAUGUAAGAAUAGCAAUUUAGGAAAGUACAGAACCCCAUUGCAGAAAACCUUCUUGUCAAAAGAAGAUAGUGAUGAAAUGUAGGUCAUGAAUCUCAGACGAAAAAUGAUUGUUCACUGCUUAUUUACCUCUAUUCAGGAAACAUCACUCCAUCAAUCAAAAGACAGAUCUUGUUCAUAAUUUCUAAAGAUGCGAGUUCCAAAUAAGUUCGGUGUUGCUUCCAAUGAGUCACAACCAGAAAUAUCCAAAUCAAUUAAAUUCAACUUUUCAAGUCCCUGAAGCUGUGUAAGUUUCUUGCAGUCUCGAACUCUUAGAGAUCGUAACUUCACACAUCUCGUCAAAUCUGGCAAAGUCUCCAUUGAUUUACAUCCUGUAAAAUCCAACUCUUCUAAGAACUCCACACGGCCAAGACCUAUUAUUUCGACUAGAUUGUCGCACCCAACAGCCACUAAUUUCUUCAAACACCGUGAUAUUGGACCAAAAAAACUUUUAAUGGAAUUGCAGUCAUAUAAAAAUAUGACCUCCAAGGACUCCAAAGCUAUAUUUGAUCCAAUAAUUAAAACUAGGCUAUUGCAAUGCUCAACACGUAAUCGUUUCAGAUGAAUCAAUCCUGAAAGGCCCAAUGUUUUAAUGGAACUGCACUUUUUAAUUGAAAGCUCUUCCAAGUGCAUGAAUCCGCUGAGCCGAAGUAAUGUUAGGUUAUCCCACUCCUCAAAACAGAGUUUCAAUGGUAUUGAGGAAAGCUCGUGGAUGUCUUCGAGUAUAUGGCAUACCUCAAGAUGGAGUUUUCUUAGGUGGAUGAGGCUAAAAAGCUGUGGCAGUGUAAGGCUCUGACAAGUGACCGACAGAUUUGUUAAGCCCGAAGGAAGCCUUGGCAGCAACCGGAGCUCCUUACAGCCGUUUAGUUUGAGGCGUCGGAGAGAAGAAGGAAGCUCUGGCAGCAACCAGAGCUCCUCACAGCUCCCUAGGUCAAGGCGUUGGAGAGAAGAAAGAUUCCGGACGCUUUCUGGCAGGUCAAAUAUCGGUGUUGCAUAGAGAUUGAGAAUCUCAAGGGAAGGCAAGUCACCGAUUUCACUUGGAAUUGCCCCUUUCAAACUAGUGCACCAGAUCAUUUCUAGAGUCCGCAGAUUUUUCAACCUUCCAAUAGCACUGGGAAGCUUUUCGAUCUCAGAAUUACUCAAGUCCAGAUGUUGCAAAUUCUGUAAAUCCCCAAUUGAGCUAGGGAUUUCUCUUAGUGAAUAACAUUCGCAGGCAGUCAGUUUCUCCAACUUCCUCAGAGAACCAAUGGACAUAGGAAUCUCUGUAAUACCAGAAAGAUUUAAUAUAAGUUCUUCUAAAUCUUUUAAUUCGCGCACCUCUUCUGGUAGCUUUUUGAGACUUCUACAGUGAUUCAAAUCUAAGGAAACGAGGCUCGUGAGUUUGCCAAUAGAAGGGUGGAGAUCCUCUAGGUUGUAACAUCCGAACAAGAUGAGAAUCUUCAACUGUGUAAAAGCCGAGAGAUCAGGAGUACAUCUUAAAUUUUCGCAAUUCGUAAGGUCGAGAACUUUAAGCCGCUUUGACGCCUAAUACGAAAGAGAAUAAACUGUUAAGGAAGGAGUUGAUUGGCUAAACAAAAACAAAACCCUAAAAUCGCAGAGAUAAUGUUCUUCUUCUCCUAAUCUUACCAUGAACAAACUCCAUCCUUCCCAAUCCUCUGUGAUCUGUUCCCAUGAUGAUAACCACAACACCGAUAAAUUCGGUAGAUGCAAAUUGAUCGGUAGAAAAAACAAAUCGCGAGGACGGACCUGAAGCCAUCUCACUGAAAAGAGUUCCAUGGAGUCUUUGCUUGAAGCUGCCCCGAGAAAGUUGUGGAAACAGGGGCGUCUCUGCAAGUUUUUUAACUUUUUAGUUUUCGCUUUUUUAAAUCUUGGAUUUGCACGAUUGAUACCUUUUUAUCCUUCCCCUGUACCUUUUGACGACCUUUCGAAAAUUAAACAAAUGACGUGAAGAUAAAGAAAAAGAUAGUUAUUGCUUUAAAACAACUAAGACAAAUGCACCUCAAUGUUUUAUCCCUUGCUUUUUUCUUUAUCAAAUUUUGUAGCACGUAUAUUUUGACUUUCAUUUAAGAUGAAAUACGAGAAACCAUUUUACAACGUAUAAAUAUUUACUUGUAAAUUUUCAUAAGACUUCUCCAUCAUUUCUCUAAAGAACGUGUCAAAGAGUGCCAGUGGGCCACUUGUAAGUAGCUAAGGAAGCACCCGGUUUCCAUUUCAUUAGUUAAAUGUAACAAUGUGGAAGAGGAAAAAAGGGGGAAUUUUUAAUUAUAUUCCGAUAUAUAUAAAGAAGAUUACAUGGUGGAAAAUCAAAAGAAAUCAAAAAUGAUAUGCAUAAUCAAAAUGGAUAUAAAAAAUCAAGAGAAAUAUCCUAAAUAUCUCUAAAAGAUAUCUAAAUAUCUUUAACAUCAUUAACUAUUUGUGUGAAGUGUUCACUCAUUCUUUGAAAAUUGAAACUUUUUUAUUUUUGGUAAAAUAUGUUUAAAAAGUGACACGGUGACAUUGGUUAGCAGUUUUGACAGGGAUUGAAAAAAUAAGUCGAUUUCAUAACUAAAACAUGAACCGGUUAACUAAAAAGUGACGUAGUGACAUUGUUUAAUCAUCAUAUGUCCGUUUCCAUAAGAACGGAAUCGUUCCUUUUUCCAUCUUAUAAAUAAAAAAACAUAUUGUUUAACUUUCCUACUAAAACAUAUCAUUUAAUUAGUUGAAGAUGGUGAAAAAUAAAUUCCCUUAUGGCUUUAAUUGACUUUAAUAAGAAUACCUACAUUUUCCCCCAAAAGUUUUUUUUUUUUGGUCGGUUUGACACAUUUGUCGUUGUCUGCUUCAAUAUUAACCAGUGAAAUGCAAUGGGUAUAAGUUCUAUUAAGUCUAUUUGUCAAAGAAGUCGCUAAAUUGUUGUAAUCACCAUCCCAUGCUAUCUUUCAUAAUUUUCGCUUGUACAUCGAUCUAUACUGUGUAUUACAUAAAAAAAUCUACUGUAUGAAAAGGGAAUUUCAAACAUCAAACUCUCCUCAAAAGUUUUCACACAAUUCGUAUAUAUUUCACCAAAAUGAACUAAAGAAUUAGGAUAUAACAAAAUAGACAUAAUCAUAUUUGAAAUAGUCAAGAAAAUUGGAAAUUAAUCCCAUUAUUAUUUCAAUUUCCAAAGUUAAAUCAAAAUCUGUCGAAUUGUACAAUCAUUUAAUUUUUUUUCCGACACUAUUUAUCCACUUUCAGCAUUUUUGUCCAUUCAAAACAGAAUUGACUUUUCUUUUUCAUUUUUCCAAACACAAGUAUGGUGUGCUCUUUUUGCUAAUGUUAAGAAGUUAUUGGAUCAACAAAAGACUGUGACAUUAAAUCAUAGGAAUGAACUAUUUCAAAUUAUAUCAAGAAUAUAAAGCUGCUUUAUUUGCCCAACAUCUCUUAGUCAAUUUCUAGGGUUAAUUCCUCUCCAUUGAUCAGCCGUGACCCUAUGACGCUUAUCAGAUGGACAAUAUAUAAUAAAAUGACAUGAACAUUGAUAAUUUAAGUAAAAGAUAAAAGAAUCUUAUUGUUUUGAAUUAAUUAUCAGUUAUUGUAAUUGGCACAUACUAUCUUCUUUUUUAACCGAGAAAUCUUCAUUUAUUUGAUUUACAAUGUUUUUACUUCAUCUACAUUCGUUCUUGUAGUCCUUCAGAUUAUCAAUAUUUUCAACUAGAUAUGACAAUGGCAUGCUUUUAGUAAAUGAGUUUUAUAGAGCAAAAUUGUAGUUAAAAGAUCUUAAAUUGAUUGUCAAGCGAAUUUUUACAUAUGUAAUUUAUAUUAAUGAGAUCGAAUCAAAUGGUAUAACUUUUUCAUCCUUUAAAUACUUAUAAUCCAUUUAGCUGUCACAAAUAAUCUAAGAUGGACAUACAUGGAUGUUUACAUAGAUCUUUUUUCCUAAUAAGUAAGAGCAUCUAUUCAUCCUCGAUGAAAUAUUAGAAUAGAUCAGAUUAAAUAUAUUGAAAUAAGAGGGAAAGAAAAAGAAAGGAGUGCCAUAUUUUACCCAUUCAUUAAUUCUUAGUACUUUUGGGACUCCCUCGUAGUCGUCAUCCCAUGGUCCGCUAUGUUUCUCAGGCGAUUGUCCUUGGCAAAAAAUACUCCUUCCAAGAUCUCUCAAUUGAUCAUGCAUCUCAAAUUGACCAUAAUUUCCAAUCUUAAUCUCUCAAUUGAUCAUGCAUCUCAAAUUGACCAUAAUUUCCAAUCUUAAUUAAGCACCUCAACUUCAGCUCUUCAAUACCUUGACUUGGAUAAAGCCCACAGUCCUCCCACAUGUACAUGGCGUAUUUGGCGUAUUCACUCCUUUCGCCAAUAAAGAAACAAACAAUAUCGAGAAAAAUCUGCUUAUGUCCAUCUUCUAAUGCAUCAUAACUUAUUUGCAAUAUUUUUUGGACGUCUCUAUGCAGUUGGCUUUUUAACUGCUUUCGCACAUCUUCCCAUACUUUUCGAUUCGGUUUUUUAUACAAGUAUGAACCUACGACCUUAAGUGCCAAGGGAAGCCCACCCAUGGUGGAUACAAUAUCACGAGAUAGACCCUCAAAGUCCUUCGAAGAAUGGUCCAUAUAAAAUGCAUGUCUAUUAAACAAAAGCAAAGCAUGCUCUUGAUCCAAUUCAUUCAAAUCAUACUUGUGUACAUUGAAUUCAGAUUGAUCAAGAAUGGCUUUAUAUCUGGUUGUAACAAUAAUAAUACUUCCCGCCAUAAACCAAUUAUGUUCUCUAGCCAAAGCAUUUAAUUGAUCCUCGUGAUCUAUAUCAUCCAGAAGAAUGAGAACAUUUUUUCCUUUGAAACUAGAUUUGAUCAAACUAAUUCCAUCAUCAACAUUCCCAAAUUUAGGUUCAAUUUUCGGAAUGUCCUCAAUUAGUUGCUUUUGUAAACAAACAAUAUUGUUGUGGCAAGCUGUUUCUCGAAUAUUUGCAAGGAAGCUACGAUGCACAAAGUCCUUUAACAGCUGGUUAUAGAUUACCUUGGCAAGAGUUGUUUUUCCAAUCCCACCCAUGCCAUAGAUUCCAAUCAUUCGAGCAUUAGUGGUAGGAGCAUCUACCCAUUUCAUGAUUCUGUUCACAUGAUCAUCUAUUCCAACUAAGUGCUUAGUAACAUCAAGCUGAAAAUCUUGUCGCAACUUGCUCAGAACAUUUUCAAUUACUUUUUUCACUAAUUCUCCUUCAUACCUGUCCAACAAAAAAACUCAUUGAUAAUUUCGUGAUUAUACUUAAUCUCAUCAAAAGGCACCGAUAGACGUGAAGAAUGGAUGGGACCAAUUAACAUGCAAGAUGUUUUGGUUUUACAAAUAACAAUGGGGGAUGAUGGCCAGCAGUCAUUUCAUUUUUUCUUCUCUCUUUUGCUAGAUGGAUCUUGUUGAAAGAAAAUAAGGAGGUGCACUUGGCUCGUUAAGAGUCUUUAGUAAGUGUAAUGUUUGUUACAAGGCUUAUUAUUGGUGCUAGUUAAAUGGUAGGAGGCCAAUUUUGUUUUAAUUAAAGAAGUUUAGAAUAAAAGUAGGUUACUCCACUCUAAGGCCAGGGCUUCUCACAUGCUAAAAUUGAGGACUUAUAAUUGAUUUACAAAUCGCUACCAAUGGGGUCUACUGACUGUGGAAAUCAAACCUAGACAUGGUAAAUGUGAAGUGUCCGGUUCUUUUCACUUGAGCCAACUUCCAUUCGCAUGAGGAGGUCUAUUUUAUCUGGUGGUGAUAAAGCUUUGAAAUACUGAGCAUUCAAGUCCUCUCUAAGCGUAUUGUUUGGUGAUUGACACGAUUGGUCGGAGGGGUUGUCAUUUCUUUGAUUUUUGCUUUGUUGGAGACAAUUGUAUUUCAUCUAUUUCGCAUGAACAAGAAAAUUUACUGGAUAAUUACUAAAAUAAUCCUAAAUUUAUUAUAAUUGUGCCAAUUCAGUCUUAAAUUUUUUUCAUGGCCAAUUUAGUCCUAAACAUUUUGAAAAUAUGUUGAUGUAAUCUAUCUAGCCAAUUUUGAUUAGAAAUCACAAAUGUAAACACCAACCGUCUUACAUGGCACAAUCAGUAUUGACGUGAAUAAUUUUUAUAAUUUUUUAUAAUUUUUUCUGAAUUUUGUUGGAUUUGUUUAUAUUUUUUUUUUCCUUUCUCUUCUUUUGUUUCCCUCCUUCCUCUACGAUCGCCGGCCAUAGAUGACAGCCGCCUCACCGUGAGGGCUGACCUCGCCAGAAUCUGGUCCUUCUAGUGGUCCUAUAGAGAAUCGCAAGGAGGGAGAGACUGAGAGUUUUUCCAACAAGAGAGGGCCAUCGUUGGGUCGGAUGAGGAGGUUCACAAGCAGCCAGAACGUGCUGGCAAACUUCAACUGGACGACGCAGGUGGCGUCGGUGGACGCAGGAGAGCAGAGGAACUGUUACUUUGGCAACAAAGACAGACGACGAGCAAGAUGAUGACGACGGCGACGAAGUGGUGAUUCCAUUUUCGGCCCCCAUUUUGGUAGGUGGAGUGGAGUCGAAGGCGAAGAAGGAAUUGAAUCUGUGGAAGAGAAGGACAAUGGCUCACCCUCAGCCACCUUGCUUGCGACAUCCCCAAUUAUUCUGCAAAUGUAAUCGUGUUCUCGAAUGAUUGUGCUCAUGGAUUCCCAAUUUCUGACGUUUUUCCUUCUUUUUUUUUUUUUUUUUUGGGGGAUUUCAGUUUGGGUUGGCCUCACCUCUUCAAAAGGACCAGAUUCCAGCGAGGUCACCCUUGUCAGAUGCGGCGAGGGCAAGCCUCACCAACCCUCGUUUGUGGCCUGUCACCCUUCAUCAAGGAGGCUGCAGCCAGAGUGGAAGAAGAAAAAAAAAUAAAAACUAAAAAUUUCGGAAAAAUAAUAAAAAAUUAUUUAAGUUAACAAUUUUCAGCUGAAAUUGACCGAAUGACUAUAUUGGCAAAUUUUCAGAGGGUCUAGGAUUAAUUUGACUGAAUAAAAAUGUUUAGGACUGUAUUGAUAUAAUUACAAUAGAUUUAAGAUUUUUUUGGUAAUUUUCCAAACACUUACUUAUCAAAAAAGAAAAGUUAAGGUGGAAGCAAAGUACCCGUUAGCAACUUUCUCGGACUCCCAUCCAUGUAAGUAACUCACUUCUUUGAGUGCUUGCUGCCCUUUCUGGAUAUCCUCCUCAUCAAAAUACUUCUUACGUGAAUGGAAGGCCUUCCCAAAACUUCCUUUUAGAUGCCGCACAUCCGAUGGAUCCACUUUAUAAAAGAUGGGCAAAACUAUGUGUGAUGUGCUCUUUGCGCGAUCCAUGAUAUGAAUAAGCUCGCGAAGGCACCAUUUGCUUGAAGCAUAAUUGUUGGAGAUGAUGAGGAUCGAAAUCUUAGACCGAGCGAUGGCAUCAAGAAUCCGUGGACCGAAUUCCUCGCCAAUUGGAAUGCUCUUAUCAUCCCUGAACACGAAAACCGGUACAAUCCCCGCCUUGUCUAGACUCUGGUAGAGGUGAUCGGCGAAUCCCUUACGGGUAUCUGACCCUCUAAAGCUCAAGAACACAUCAUAAUGAUCAUUACCUUCUCCCGUGGGUGUUGGAGAUAUGAAUGAAGGUGUGGGUGCUCUCUUCUUCUUCUUGAGAAGAUUGAAUGCAAGCACACUGAAAAGAAUCGUCGUGGUAAGCACCGCGGAAGAACGCCCCAUUAUGAAAGGGUGCAUCCUUUUGUUUGUUACGGUGUGGCUCUGCCCUUUUGUCUAUGGCAAUCUGAGGGGGAAAGUUGGGAAGAAAGAUGCUCUUCUGCUGCAUAAAAGGAUUAAUAACUAGUCUCUAUCAAGUAUGAACAAGUAUGAACAUGAAAUCUUUUACCAAGCAAGAAAAAAUAAACAUGAAAUCUUUAAUUAAUUAGUAUUUGAUUGACUACGAGCAGUUGCAUGCGUUUAGUCAUUGCGUUAUCUUCUUUUGCACAUCAUUCUUUAGUCAAGUCAAUCUUGUUGGCUUUGGUCCCCUCACGUAUAACGUGUACAUUAAUUUCUUAAUUGGGCUAUAAAACACUAGAAUCUAUGUACAAGUAUAUUGCAUUCAUUCAAAAUUACACAUAGUGGUUCAGUUGUUACUUGCUUAUUGAAAAUAAGAUUUUGAAAACUCAUUUUUUUGUCAAAGAAUUUCAUAAAUCAUUUAAAAGCUGAUAACUGAAUUGAGACAAAAUUGGCAAUGUGGGGGAGGACGUGAAGAAAGGACCUAGCUAGUAAUUAUGAAUGCGAUUUUAAAUUUAAUUUUGCCAUAGAUUUCUCCUCCUGCACAGCACAAAGCCUCCCUUCUCCUUGUUUAUCUGCUCCUCUCGCCGACACAUUCUCUCUUCCCCUUCUGUCCUUUCGUUUUUUCCUUUCUUUUCCUUUCUUUCUCCUUUCUUUUCCUUUCUUUCUUCUCUUCUUUUCCUUUUUGACUCUAAUGUAUUUUCUUCUUCUUUUUCUCAUCAUUUCAAACUCCAAUUCACCUAAGAUUACUACCUUUCCACCAAAUCACUUUUCACUUUUGACCGCAUUUUACUGUUCACUUUGACUGUAUGUUCCCACAUGUAAUUGAUCGGAAGUGACCGAGUGAGUGUCAGGGAUAGUGAAUGAAAAGCUCUUAUUCUAUAAAAUUAUAUUAGAAAAUUAAAAUUUCAGCAUGUUACAGCAGAUGCGGGAACAAUUUAUCAAGGAGAUAUUUCUAUCAAAUAGAUUGGAGAAUAGAAGAAUAUGUCUAUAGAUUUAUAACAGUUCAACUUAUAUAAAAUUUACAUCCACUCUCUCAAACUAACAACCAUCAGUAUGGCAUUUUUUUAACCGAAAGAAUCAAAUGCAACUGAAACAUAUCGUGAACGCACGAGAGAUCGAGGCAACUUAGAGAUUUGAAGCUUUCUGAAUUUCCGCCAAGUCCAUUGGCAUCCUCUAAAUCCUUUUUAUAUAAAACUAACCGUUGUGAGAAUAAUUUUACCCGUAAAACAUCCUUUCAUAGGUUUUCUUUGGAGGGUGCCCUUUUUACUUGGAGGUCAUAAAUACGAAAAUUAUGUCUCAUAAAUACGAAAAUUAUGUCUGGUAAAAUUCCACAAAAAUAAUAUUUUUAUUCAGUUAAUAGUAAAUUUAUUUUGUCUAUUUUCACUAAAAUAUGUAAAUUUAUCAUAACUUUCCUUUGUACUUGGUAAAGUUUUGACAUCCAUGUCUUAGUAAUUUUCCUUACUCAUCGUAACUUUUCUCAUGAUAAUUUGAUCAUGUUUGCAUCUAACUUUCCUUUAAUUUUCGGAAGUGAUGAUAAAAAAAUCGAUUUUGCAAUAUAGAUUUGACGGAUCACCUUUUUUGCCCUUUUUAACCAACGGUCCACAUCGAAUGUAGGACUCAUCCCUUAAAAGAGAGUUUUCACUUAUGAAAUUUCCAACAUGAUUAGCACGUUUUAGCCAUAAGAAAGUAGUUUAUUUUUUUCUGAACAGUAUAGUAGUGUGUUUUUCCAAAAUUUUGCAAAUCGUUCCUUUGAAAUAUAUAUAAAGGUAAAAAUGUAACUAAGAAACUAUAUUAAUUUAUCAAUACUUUCUUUUGCUGAUGCACAGCAACAGAUAAAAGAAAUUUGAGAUACUUCUGAACAGUAUUUUUGAUGUUUCAGGCUUUAAGUAAGUUUGGUUCCGACCAAAAAAAAAAAAGCUGUAAUUUUGUACAAUUGGAGUGCAUAUUAGGCAAUGGACCCAAAAUCGAGUCUAGAAGGGUAAUUUCAUCAUUUUAAUCGAGCGGGCUUUUUGUGCCGAGGGAAUUUCACAUGUAUUAUUCUGUUGCCCUAGAGGAUGUUAGGCGAUGAGUAAUAACCGAAUGUAUUUUUGUCCUAUCAAUUGUAACAGACCGGAGAAUGAAGGUCGGACUUACCUCGAGGAGAAGAUAUUCAGAGAUGAAAUAACUGUGAUGGGUUUGAGAAGAAGUCGGCUUGAAGCAGUCCAAGUCCCAAAAGUCAGUGCAGUCCCGAGAACCACCUUCACGCCUCAACCUGGACCGGCUUGGUUUGGAAAGAUGGUAAGGUAAAUUUGCAGAUCAUCUCAGGUCAGAACGUCACGAGAAAGGACGAGUGGUGGCUACGAAGAAAUCACCAACAACAGACGGCGAACUUACUAUCUCUCGAUAAAAUCCCAGCUCUUCUCCGGUAUAUCUGGAGAUCCCAGAAACGACCCACGUGUUCCGAGCGAAGACCGCCCCACCAAACCCAGGAACCCUAAUCGCCUCGGUGGAGUCCACGAUCAGAAAUUAUAGCAAGCGGAACGCUAAAAAGUUCGAAACUCGACACGAUUCGAGUUGAUUUUACCUGCUGAUUGGUGCCCGCCAAAAAAACAGUCCUUUGAAGCCGGUGGUUCGGAAGGAGCGACUGCAGGUGCUCUUCGCGACGGCGUCGGGUGUACUGCUUGGUGGAUUCGCGAGAAAGAAGAUCGCUGCUUCCUCCUCCGAUUCAAGCCGAAGCUCUCGCUCUGAUCGUAGAGGCUUCGAUGUGCUUCAGAUCUGGAAUUAGAGAGAACUUGGUACUUGGUAGUCGGAUAACGCGGUUCUGUGUUGACUUUCUGCUGGAACACGAUCACGUGCCAUGGGUGGGAUGCGCUGUGUCUUGGACGCCAGAGCCCAGUUGGCUAAUUUUCAAAAGUGUAUCCGCGGCCCAUAUCCCUAAACGGAGUUGGAAACAUGACGUGGGUAUAAACAAAUGGACUUGUGUUUAUUCCAUGGUAGCUCCACGUGCUAACGAUUUCUUCUAAAUCCAACGUAUUUUAAAAUGACAUGAUAUCACCGAGUUAUUCUCUUAAACCUUAGAAAUUUUAAAUAAUUGAUCGAUAUGUAGAGCAAUAACUUGUUACGGGAUACUGCAGAAGGAGCAUGAAUACUCCCUUGAUGCUAUCUUUUGCGGCAUUUUUGUUUUUUCUUCUUGAGAUGAUUGAAUAUAAGGAUAAAAAGAAGAAUUGACGCAAUGAGCACCGCAAAGGAAUGAUGUGAAACGAAAUAGUGCAUCCCUUUUGUUUCUCUUGCUUUGGUUUUGCCCUUUCUCCAUGGAAAUGUUGGGAAAAUAUUAGAUAACGUGAAUAAAGAGAAAGAAUUGUUGGAAAUAUAUUAAAAACGAUGAAAAAAUAUACGAUAUAUUGUUUGAGGCAUUCAAGCACUAUCCUUGAGAUCAAUUUCUCCCUUCAGAGCAUGAAACUCGGUACGAUGGGCUCUAGUGGCUAUCUUCACGAGAUAAAACUCUACAUGGAAUAACAGAAGGAAUGGGAACAUGUUAUGUGCAUAGCCUAGCCAAACAAGGAAAGACAUGUGAAUUUUGUGAAUUCGAUGUAUAUUGAAAGAUUGUGGUUUUAUGGUUAAUCUUGUAUUCAAACAAAAGAGAGAGUUGUUAGAAAACCGCUACAAAUUAAUUAAUAAUUAAUAAAAUGAUGACCAUUAUAGAUGAUAUUUUGAUCACAUCAAAAAAUUAAAGAGAAAGCCUCUAACUCUCCUUUGCACUUCAAAAAGUUUUGAGAUCUUUGUCUUGAUAAAUUUCCUUACUCAUCCUAACUUUUCUUAAUCGAACGAUAAUUUGAUCACGUCUAACUUUCCUUUAAUGUUUAAAAGUGAUGCAAGAAAAUCGAUUUUGCAAAACAGACUUGAAAUGUCAUGUUUUUUCCCUUUCUAUCUAAUGGUCCAUAUUGAAUAUGGGACCAAUCCCAUAAAAAAAGAGAGUUUUGACUUAUGAAAUUUCCAUCCCCAUUGAGAUGUUUUGCCCAUAAUAAAGUAGUGUUGAAGACGCUAUUUUUCUAAAGUUUGGAAAUCAUUCCACUAUGAUAUUUAUAUUUAAUAUAUAGAAAGGUAAAAACGUAAAUUAAGGAACGGUAUUACUUUCUCAAUGUUGUCUUUUAUUGACUGACGCAAAGCAAUAGAUACGUCUGUAACUCUAGUAUGAUAUGCAAGUCUUCCGUUUCCAAAGUAACCUUCACACAUAAUCCCAUCUGCCGAGGUUAACGAUGAUUCAAGCCCCUUUCAGACAAUUGGAAUUAACCUUCCAAUAGCACUAGGAAGCUUUUCAAUUGUAGAACCACUAAUGUCCAGAUGUUGCAAAUUUUGUAAAUCCCCAAUUGAGGUAGGGAUUUCCCUGAGUGACUCAUAAUAGCUGGCACUCAAUUUCUCCAGCUUCCUUAGAGAACCAAUAAACACAAGAAUCUCAGUACUAUCGGCAAAAUCUAAUAUAAGUUCUUCUAAUUUGACAGAUUCGCCUCCUUUCAGUUUUAACACACAUACCCAUCCGCUCUUGGUCCGGUCCAUUGCCAUAUUCUUCUUCCGCGAUCCCAACUCUCUUGUGGAUCCUGAGAUUGCGAUGCUCUCCCCAAUUUCAACUUGGUAAUCUAGCCGAACACUGAGAUGCAUCUUCUCUUGUCCCAGCUUUGAUAUGAUCUUCUUCGCUUUCUUCUCCUCUUCUCUGCAAUAAACACACUAUGUUAUAGCUUCUACCGAUAGCCUCCUUCCUUGUCUAGACAACUUAAACAGCAAUUUUCACACGAACCACCAUUCAUUCUUUGCCAUUUAACACCACAUUCAAAGAGAAACCUCAAAUCAAGAUGAUAUAAGAUAAUUAAUGACGCUACCUUUUUUAGCAAGAAGAACUCGAAAGAAGAAACAGAAAAACUCUUUUUUCUACACCUAUUCUCAUUCAAGAAAUAGACCCCACAUAAACUCUAUCCACACUAGAGAAUCAGACAAACCUUUGAUCGAGAAUUGCAUAAAACAACUCAAUACUUCACUCUGGACCCUAAUGCUCGAUCAGAUUGACAUAAGUGUACUACGACAAAUCCAAUGAGAGAGAGAGAGAGAGAGAGAGAGAGAGAGAGAGAGAGAGAGAGAGAGAGAGAGAGAUGGUUUUAGUGGUGGAAACGCCACGAACAACCAUAAAGGAGCGACUCCGAGCGGCAGGAGCUCCAUGCGUCCACCUAAGAGAAUCUUGAAGGGGAAAAGUAAUGCUGCUCUUCAUGAAUGAACUGGUGGUCUCUGUACUUGGUUUUAGGUAUGAAAAUGUACAUGGCUGUGACUCCUCCGUUUUUAGAUUCAUGCUUAAAUAAAUCAAGUUUGAGAUUAUAUGACCAAAGUUGAUUGCAAAAUGCCUACAUAUGAAUUUACAGAUACAACUAGACCAGAGAGAUGAUGUUAAACUAAUGAAUGCCCUUAUUUUGUGUUCAAAAUUCUUCCAAAUGAGAUACUACAAUCUUCUUGGAAACCUUUUCAUUGAAACUCUUGGCUGCAAUUGACAGAUUAUUUGCUGAUUCCACAGCAUUUUCUUUUUCCACGAAAAAAGUCUCUCCCGGUCACAAAACUGUAGCUUGAAGUGGAAAUCUAAAUGGUAAUCUUGUUAACAAAUCACAUAUUAUACUUGACUUCACAUACAGAACUACCUGCACAUGGGGUCUUCCUCCUAGAGAUUUGCCAUGUGCUUUUGCUAAAGAAUAGCACAAUUUCAAUGCUCGCAAAGGACUAAUUCACCACAGGAGAAGAAGUCACGUUAUAUUAAGAAUCCUUUGAAGAGUAAUAACAACACGGAACAAAUGAUAAACGCCAACAGCAAAGAACUUCAUUAUGCCUUUCCAUACUGACAUAGCUCAUUCUUGCCCGUAUCUCCAACCCAUGGUGUUUGGGGACUUUCUCAGAGUUCCAUCAAAUGCAACUUUAAUCUGCACAAGGAAGAUAGCAAUGACUAAUUAUCAAUAAAUGAAGAUAUCCAAGAUUGUAGCAUCAUAAUUUACCCCAUGAGAUAUAAGGUACAAAUGCGUAAACAUUGACACCAAUCAGAGUUGGACCACAAUGAAUAGAGACUUCAUUAGCUAGCCAAUGAAAAAGAAACCAACAGGCUUAAAAGAAGUAAGCAAUUAGCAACACUUUCCCUAUUUGUGUUUAGGAACAGAAUUGAAGUUAAAAAAAUUAUGCUGAAAAGGUGAAUUGACCUAAACUACACGAUAGAAAGAUGUAUUAGCAAUACGGGAUAGUUUGCAAGGAGGUUAAUUUCAACUUCACAAAUUCAGUGUUGUACACAUGAGAACUGAGCUUAUCAAAUCAGAAACCUAUACGAUCACAUACAAAUGAUAUCAUCACACAAAUAAACUGAUAGAAAUGGAGGACCCUAGCAGUGCAUACCUCCCUCUGCAGAGUCUCAUCAAUUCUAAAGUGAUAUCAUUAGAAUGCAACCACAUCAAACAACUCUGCAUUAGGGUAACGUUAAAAAAAAUCAGUAGCUUAGCAUUUGAUUAAAAGAGAGCUAGAACCGAAUGAGCAUACAUAAUGCAUAUUUAACUGAAAAAAAAAAUACAUUUACAAUCACUCAUGGACGUGACAUUGAGAUCAAGUCAAGUGUUUGAAAAUUCAGAAGUAUCAAAACUUCCUUGGGACACUCCAGUUAGCCCUAGAGCAUCUUGAGGGUUGGCACGCAAGAUGGUCCUCAGCAACAGCUGAUGCUUCAUCUACAAAAUCCCUUCUCUUUAUUUUGAUCUGCUCAGUAUGAAAUUUGAAAUUCCUCAACCGAGUUAGCCACACCCAAUCAGUCAUGUUAUUAAGCAAUCCCAUGACACCAAUAGGAUCAAACGGGAUGCAAACUAAUUAGCAAAUUCUUGAGCUCCUCGUCCCAGCUUGUUUCACAGAUGAGCAAAAAAUUGUCUAUUAAUGCAAAAGGUCAUCGAUACAGUUAAUUGAAUUUAAGUCCCAAAGUAAUCCUAGAUCAUUACAUAGACCAACCAAACUUGUCAUAGAAGCAGCACCCAUUUACCUUGCUUGAUAAUCUUUCAAAACGACAGUUUGACUACCGGUAAUGUUAAGGUGGUCCACAUUCAUACAUGACAGACUAGUCAAAACUACUUUUAACAAUUAUUUUUUUUUAUCACUGAACAAAAACACUUUAACCUUAUAUUUAAUUUUAGCUCAUUUCAUCAUACUUACUGGGAAUUGAUGCUCUUCUAGAAGGUUCAAGAGGAAUAUCAAGGGAACAUUAAGAAACUUGACAGGGUUUUCGUUCAUCAUGAAAAACUGGAAGGCGUUUGUCCCAAACAGGACAUCUGCCAUUAGUCAAGCUUGACACAAAGGAACUCAAAAUGGCCAAGGAUUUUUAGAAAGAAAUUAUUAACUUUUGGACAUCGGGAAAUUCUAGGCGUAGUUGACAAUAUUGAGUAACAGAAGAUCAUUGGCCUCUAGGUGAAAACUUCAAAUCCCAGUUCACCGAGAGGGGGGAACUGUAAAUCACCAAGGAAUUCUUGUUUACGUAUGUUUGAUGUUUUCAUCCUUGCCUCACAAGCCGCUCAUCUAUUUGCAGUCUAAAAAAGCUGCCAAUGGAGGGAUAAAUGAAAAACAUUGCAAUAACAUAACCAAUAGCAAUAUAUGCAGGCAAAUCCAGAAUUUCCGAAAUCAAUUAACUAGAUACACCAUGUGGAGCAAAUCAUUCUCAAAAAAUAGAGCUUCAAGAAAAGUAUUAGUCUAUUUGCUCAUUCCGGCCGUUUGAAGGAUGAAGAGUCUUACUAGAUAACCAAAUGUCUUCUAUUGACAUUUUGAGUCUACAUUUUGAUCUUGGCUGAAGCAUCAUGUCAGCUUCUAUGACCAACUCCCCCACUCCUUCGAUUAUGUAAGUCUAGCAAUUUAGGAAAGUACAGAACCCUGUCAUGGAAAACUUCUUGUCAAAAGAAGAUGGCGAUGAAAAGUAGGUCAUGAAUCUCAAAAGAAAAAUUAUUGUCGCUGUUUUACCUCUGUUGAGGAAGCAUCACUUCAUGAGUCAAAAGACAGCUCUUGUUCAUAAUUAUCAAAAGAGGCCCGUUCUUUCCAAUGAGUCGCAACCAUCAGUUCUCAAGUUAAUUAAAUCCAACUUUUCAAAUCCCCAAAGCUGAGUAAGUUUCUUGCAAUUUUUAACAGAAAAAUAUUGUAACCUCUGACAUCCAUUCAAAUCUGGCAAUGUCUCCUUUGAUUUGCAUCCCAUAAAAUCCAACGGUUCCAAGAACUUUGCCCUGUCAGGGCCUUGAAUUUUGACUAGGUUAUUGCAAUCCUCAACCUGUAAUUUUUUCAGAUGAUUUAAACAUGAAAGGUCCAAUCUCUCGAUGAAACUGCAAUCUCUCAUAUACAAGUCUUCCAAGUACUCAAAUCGGUCGAGCUUAAGCAAUAUUAGCUUAUCACACUCCACAAUACCGAGUUCCAAGAGUCUUGAGGAAAGCUCAGGGAUGUCUUCAAGUAGAUGGCAAUGGUCAAGCCAGAGUUCUUUUAGGUGGAUUAGGCUAGAAAGUUGUGGCAACAUGGGACUCUGACAACAGACUACUAGAUUUGUUAAGCCCGAAGGAAGCUCUGGCAGCGAGCAGAGCUUGUCACAGCCAUUUAGCUUAAGGGAUUGGAGAGAAGAAAGAUUUUGGACGCUUUCUAGUAGGUCAAAUAUCGGUGUGUAAGAAAGAUGGAGAUACUCGAGGGAAGGCAAGUCACCGAUUUCAUUUGGAAUUGCCAGAAUACAGCAACGUGAGAGCUGUAGCGUCCGCAGAUUUUUCAACCUUCCAAUAGCACUAGGAAGCUUUUUGAUCGCAGAAUAAGUCAAGCCAAGAUGUUGCAAAUUCUGUAAAUCCCCAAUUGAGCUAGGGAUUUCUCUCAGUGAAUAACACCCGUAGGCAGUCAGUUUCUUCAGCUUCCUCAGAGAACAAUAGCACUGGGAAGCUUUCCGAUCUCAGAAUAAAUCAAGUCAAGAUGUUGCAAAUUCUGUAAAUCCCCAAUUGAGCUAGGGAUUUCUCUCAGUGAAUAACACCCGUAGGCAGUCAGUUCCUUCAACUUUCUCAGAGAACCAAUAGACGUAGGAAUCUCCAUUACCAGAUUCAUAUAAUAAAAGUUCUUCAAAAUUUUUUAAUUCGCCCACCUCCUGUGGUAGCUCCUUGAGACACCUAUAGUGACUCAAAUUUAAGGAAACGAGGCUCGUGAGUUUGCCAAUAGAAGGGUGGAGAUGCUCCAACUCCCACCAUCCGCUUAAUUUGAGAAUCUUCAACUGUGUGAAAGCCGCCAAAUUAGGAGUACUUAAAUUAUCGCAAUAUUCAAGCAUCAGAAUUUAGAGCUGCUUUGACACCCGAUACAAAAGGAGAAUAAGCCAUCAAAGGAGGAGUUGAUCAGUUGAAAAAAAAAUAACAAACCCUAAAAUCGCAAAGAGAAUGUCUCCUUUUUCCCAAUCAUGAAUGAACUCCAUCAUUUCCAAUGUAUGAAGCCGCUGCCCCAUAACUUCAGCACCGAUAAUUUCUUUUUUUUUUCUUUUUUUUUGAGCAAGCAGCACCGAUAAUUUCGGUAGAUGCAAAUUGAUGGUCGGAAGAUACAAAUUGCUUCCAAAGACUUCCCACUCAAGCCAUCUCACUUUAAGGAGUUCGUCGUUGGAAAUUCCGCUUGCAGCUGCCCUCAAAAUGUCGUCGAAGCAGGAGGGGCGUCUCUGCGAGUUUUUUAAAUUUUUAGUUUUUGCUUUUUGAAAUCUUGGACUUGCACGAUCUGAAACCUUCCCAUCCUUUCCGUAUAAAAAUAUGGACACGUGAACUCACAUUUGAUUUCUAUUUUUGCCGACCUUUCGAAAAUUGAACAAAUGAUGUGAAAAUAAAAAUAAUAAAAAUAGUUAUUACUUUAAAACAACUAAGGCAAAUGCACCUUAAUGUUUUAUCUUUUUCCCUUCUUCUUUUUUUAAUUUUGCAGCACGUGUAGUUGGACUUUUAUUUAAGACAAAAUACAUGAAACCAUAUGACAAAAUACAAUUGAUUACUUGUAAAUUUUCAUGUGUAUAAUUUCUCAAAAGAAUUUGUUAAAGAAUGCCCGUGGGCCACCUGUAAGUAGCUAUGGAAGCACUUGAUUUUGAUUUCAUUAGUUAAAUGUAAUAAUGCGGAAGAGAAAAAAAAAGAGGGGAAUUUUCAAUAUAUUUUGAUAUAUAAAAAAGAUUACGUGGCUAGAACCAUUUAAGGAAAUCAAAAGAAAUCAAAGUAGAUAUGUGUAAUCAUAAUAGAUAUAAAAAAAUCAAAGGAAAUAUCUUAAAUAUCUUUAGAAGAUAUCUAAAAAAAUCUUGAAUCAUUUCUUUGAAAACUAAAACGUUAUGUUUAAAAAGUGACAGAGUGACAUUGGUGAGCAAUUUUAACAGGGAUUGAAAAAAAAAAAAAAAAAGUUGCUCUCAGAGUAACUAAAAAAAUGAAUCGAUUAACUAAAAAGUGACAUGAUGAUAUUGUUUAAUCGUCAUAUCCGAUUCCAUAAGAAUGGAAUUGUUUCUUUUUGCAUAUUAUAAAUCAAAACGUACUGUUUAACUUUCCUACUUAAACAGAUCAUUUACCUUUUUAUGGUCGGUACUUAAACAGAUCAUUUAAUCAGUUGAAGAUGGUGCAAAAAAAAAUUCCCUUUUAUGGCUUUGAUUGACUUUCAUAAUAAUACCUAUAAUUUUCCCCCAAAAGUUCAAUUGGUUAGGAAUUCAGUAAUGCACUUUUAUGGUUUGACACUCUCCCAUUUUCAGUUCCGCUGAGUCGCGUUCUCCGGUAAUGACUCGCUUGUGUUCUUCCAAUUCGUCGUUCGCAUCUUUUCCAUCCGUUGGUCGCUGCAUCAUUUGCUAUUUUUGGUUCUCUUCUUUGCUGCUACAUUGGUCGAAGGAGCAAUCUGUCGCUUUGAUUGCGUUGCCUGCUGUGGAUUUUGAGCUUAGGUUCGUUGUCGAUCGAUGUGCAGAAGUGUUCAUUGGGUAAAUGAGGGGGGGAGAGAGGAGAGGGGAUGACUUGAUUUGGCCCGAAAUGGAGUUACUGGGGGAUGUUUCGGAGACGGCGGGAUGAGGUUGAAGUGUUUUUGCUCUCGUCGGAGUGACUUUUUGAGUCCGCGGUGCGAGAAUAGCGGCGGCUACUUCGUUUGAGUCCGUUGAUUUUGCUCUACUUCCCUGUUGUUGAGCACUUUAUGUUGUUGAGCACUUUAUCGUGACUGAGCUUAGCUUGUGUGUUGGAUGAUUCUUUAGCUGGCAGCCUGGCACUUCUUAGAGUCUCGUUUUACAUAUUAUGUAGAGGAAAGCAGCAAAAAGUUGCAGUUUUAAGGAAUCGUGUGAGACAUGUUGUGCUCGAACUCUGUCAAUUAUCAUUCUUGUCAUCUGGUGCAGUGUUUCCUCAGCAUGAGGUAAUUUGGUGUUUUUCCAUGGUACUUGCUGUAGGUUGGCUAGUUUUAACCAUGUAAUGGCAUGAGUAUGACCACUUCAAUCGUACUUUAAGGGCACGUUUGUUUGGACUUAAGUAAAAGGUUUCCCGCCAGAAUUUAAGAUAUUAUUCAAAUUUCAGAAAAUUAUGAAAACGUUAUAGGUGAAUGUACGUGUCAACAUAUGAGUACAGUGAAAGUUUCAUGACUUUCGUAUUUAUAAAAAGUUAAAAGUGUGUGAGCUGCAAUAUAUAGAUUAAGCAAAAAGAAAAACAUAGAAGUCAUUCCUGACAUGCCCGAAGCUUGGACAGGUUUGAUAGCUUUUUCUUCUAGUUCUGCCUAGGUUCCUCAAAGCCUGCUUGAACUUCCCCACCCUGGUUCAAUCGCAGAGGACAUCCAAUCCAAUUGCUAAAUUGGGUUCUUUGUUUUUCUGUCUCUUUAACUUGGUUGAAUUCUGCCUCUUUGGUCUUGGUGCAUAGAAAUGAGCCUUCAGAUGAAGUUUCUUUGUUUGGAGAAUUGAUAGCAACUUUUUUUGGUGAAUGGUUAUGAGAGUACUUGGAGUGUGUGAUUUUUGGUUCUGGCUGCUCUGUCAUUCUUAUGGAUGAUAAACAGGACUCUGUAUGAUGCUUGUUAUCUCAAAACCAAUGUUUUUAUUCUUUGUGGGACAGUUCUGCUUCCAUGGGAUGGAAUGAUAAAAUCAUCAAGCAGCCGGAAGAGGAAACUCAUGAAUCAUGGACCCUAACUCUACACUCUCUGUCUGAUUUAUCCCAUAUUUCGCCAAUUGUAUUCUUGUACCUCAUUAAAGAAUGUUAUGCUUCUGGUAUAAGAAUGCCUUCCCCUUCAAAAGUCUCUUGCCACGUUUAUAUUCCAUUUUCCCUUAGUGGUACUUCACAUCAUAUGCAGUAUAUGCGAGCAAAUGACUUUUCUAGUGUUCCUAUAUGUAUCAGAUGAUCGACUUGCCUGCAUCUUCUGGUUUUACGUCAACUUUUUCAUUAACUUCUCUUCCAAAGAGGAGGCUCUUCUUUAGAUGCUAGUUUUAUUCUAAGAACAAACUGAAGUUUUGAGCCAUGUAAGACAUUUGUCCUCAAAUGUCAUCAAUUAGAGGACACACGUGCAGUACAUUGUGCAUCUCAGUAUUUAUGACUACCGUCACACUGCACAUAGCAUUACACUUUUUGAUGAGGAAUAAUUGGUCAUUUACUGGAUAUUGCUAUCCUUUAGUCUUUUCAUAGAUGCUUGGAAUCCACUUGGUUUAUGGCUAUCUGGACUUCUUUUCUUAGAGAUAUUGCCUUAUGUUCUAAUGCUUAGGUACCUUGAAGGCAACUAGGAAGUUCGGGGCACUUCAACACCAAGUCCAUCAAGUAUUAAAUAAUGGGCCCCGACCCGGACCCGCUACGUUUGUCAUACACUGUCUCUAUGCACUACCCAUAUUUGACAUUUACUGUGAGGGAUUCAGUCACUUGAUAAUAUCUUCUCUCUGUCGUUUUCUGAAAGCUAACCUUGCGGACUCCAUGCAAGCAAAGGACUUAGCUGUGCAUUUGUUUGUUGAUAUGGUUCAGGGAUAUGUAUAUCAUGAUGAGAGGAUACUUGUGAAGGUAGUAGAAGUUUAUGAUGUGAGACUGACAAACAUUGAGUAUGUCAUAUUCCAACUUAAAGCUACAAACAUUAACUUUAGACAAGUCACUGCAUUAACAUUUCUUGAGCAAUAUGUUUUCAAGUUGAUAAAUUCCCAGUCCUAUAUGACAGCAGUCAUUCUAUUGGAGCAUUUUUCUAUUCACCGAUUUGGGAAAUCCUUCCUUCUUGCUAUGAUAGAAAAGAAAGAAUUUAGGGCUGCAGAGAAGUGGGCCACAUUUAUGGGCAAGCCAAUGUUAUGUGUACUUGUCCAGGUAUAUAUAGACAGAAAAAUGCUGAAGUAUGCUUACGUGACAAUAAAGAAAAACAAUCUCCGGCAAGAAUUUGCUGAUGUAUAUCAUUAAUGUAAAGAAAGGUACUUCUUUGCUGUUAAAAUUUUUUGGAAGUGACAUUUGCUUUAGAUUUAUUUAUUAUGUUGCUGAUAGUGCAUGGAAAUCCAAAUUUCUUACUGGAGCCAUUGUAUCGAGAACAGCAAGACUAAUUUAUUCUUUUGUAGUUCAAUGAAGCAGCUAGCAGAAAAAGGGUGCUGGGAUGUUGCUGAGUCAAAGGCAAAGGGUGAUCUACAGCUCAUUGAAUACCUGGUAUUAGUCUAAAAUGCUUUGUUCCAACUGUGGCAUCUUUCUUUAGAUGAACUUGAAGUUGUGUGAUUUUAAGUUGCAACUUUAGUAGAUUUGUAUCAAUCUUUUGAGGUUUGCAGUUUGGCUUCUAUAGGGGUUCCUCAAAUAGUUUUGUCAGUCCUGUCUUUCUUAGCAACGGGUAUUGGGAGAACUGUUUCAGUAAUCGCACAUUUUAUCUCCUGCUAUUGGACUUUGGUGCAAUGUCUAAUGGUUCUUGGUCCUUUCAUAGAGAAAUGUGAUUAAUUUUUUAGUCAUAAUAUGUCUUCUGAUGUAACUAUAGCAUUUGAGCUGUGUACAUAAAUGACAUCUUGUGGCUUGAGCAAGAAAUUCCUGUGGUGCCACCUCCUCCUUUGUGAUGAACAUUUGUCCUAUUACUGUUGUUUUUUCCUCCUUGCCUUUGCCUUUUCCCUGAAGGUGAUGUUUAAGUUUUUGAAUUAACAUAUUACCAGUCUGUAGCUGUCAUAAGACAUAAAGAAGGGAGACUUACAUGCUUUUGUUUAUUCUAUUAAGAUUUUACUCUUCCACUUUAAAGGUCUAUUUGGCAAUGGAAGCUGGUUAUCCAGAAAAAGUUGAUGAAUUGUGUGAUCGAUACUCUCUUCAAGGUUUUCCAAAAGCCAAAGGUGUGCCAACAUCUAUUUUGUUUGCCAAAAUAUUAGGAUAAACAUAUUGCUGUGAUUUCUUUUCUCUGACCUGUAAGUUUAGAAAAUUAUGUUGUUGCACUAUUUUUGCUGAAACAGUUUUUUGUCAGUCACUGCUGUGAUUGGAACCUCUAUUGUGCUACUAGAAGCCAACUAGAUGCCUCAAGUAGGUUACUGGGAACCUUAGAUAAGGUUUCUUCUUGCUUUGUUUGCAUAAAGUACCUGGACUAUGCAUAAGAUUCUAUAGGCACAGUUAACGAGGUGUUGGCAUGCUUGUCUAUUGAGUUAAGUAUGGGGCAAUUGCAUUGAUCAAUGUAGAUGGCUAUCUUUGUUCGAAUAUACCUUCUAAUGUGAAUAUCUUUAUCAAUACAUUGCUUGCAUUUUGUCAGAGAAUGUGGCAAACUGAUUGGGAUUCUUAUGGCCAGUAUGUUGUUAUUCGGUGAACCGAAUAGAUGUUUUGCUUGCGUUCUCUUGUUCCUAUAACUUGUAAAUCUUGGUUUGAAUUGUAUCUGGGGAAGUGCUGAAGUCAUUAUGUCUCGAAAAUUGCUGAAUCAUUUGAUAUCUUGAACCCGACAGUUGCGUCUGCAAUUAGGUCUCUAGUUCUCCAUGAUUGAGGAAAAGAACAGUUCUGCUUGUGCCUGAUGAUCUAGAACCAAUUGCUUGCCAUAUUAUGUGGACCUUGAAAGGUUUUUAGUAGACCUUCGUAUACGUUGGGUAUUAAACUUCUCUGAUAAACAUGUAUUCUGUUGCACUAUCAUCAGUAUGGUGUAAGUAUGCUAUGCCUUGAUAUUUAGUCCUUGGUGAUCUCAUGUUGUGGAGUACAGCAGUAGGAUUUUCUCAGUAAUGUUGCAUUUUCUUUUUCAAAUAUACUAAUUUGUAACCAUUGGCUUGUUUAGAAUUGGAUGCAACUUUUCUGCAUCGUAAGCACUAUAUGUGCCACAAAGAACUGGGCAUUGAAGAUGUUUUUUGGGUUGAUCGAGUGGAUAGUUUGCAUACAGCAACAUACUGUAUUGAAGAAUCUAAAGUUGUUGGUGUGGACUGUGAAUGGAAACCUAAUUAUGUAAGGGGCAGCAAGCCUAACAAGGUAAUUGCUAAGUCCUGUUUGUCCUCAUCUUCAUAUGCAUAAUAUCUUGAAGGUUUUAUAUACUCGCUGAAAAUUGUCUUUGUGCCUUUUUGUUCCAAACAAAUUCAUUGUUGCCAGAAAAGAAAUUAAAUGGUUUAAUGAUCAAGAGUUAUUAUCAAGCUUUUGGUGAUUGCCACUAUCUUUCUUACGUUUCAACAGCCAUGUAAUCAACUAUGAAGCAUGAUAUUCAGCAAUGGCAUCCUGAGAACAAAACUUUUAAGAUGAUUUCAGAUGUGCUGUACUUGUUAUAUAGUGCGCUUCCUUUUAAAAAAAUUGAUGAGGGAUAUGCUUGGCCAGACGUAGGACCUGUUUGAAGGCUCCAUUUGGAAGAAUCAUGUAAAAGUCUAAAGAGUAUCUACAUGCCUUUUGAUAUUUGUUAACCACUAUCAGAAUGGAUUAAAUCAGACAAGGCAGAUGUAGAUGGUAUAGGACUGCAGUGAGGAGAUGGCAAUACAAGAAGACAAUGGUUUUGUCUCCACUUCUCACCAUCUUAUGUGUGGUUGCCAUUGGCAUGGCUAGUCUCACCAAUCAAUGUCCCUACUGCUGUCGGCUUAGCUCUCUUAUCGUGUGUUAUUUGGUUCUAAGCAGUGACUUGGUCUCUUCAGCCAAAUUACAGCAGCUGCUUGCUCUGCUGACGUGAUUUAGAGGUUUUGGUUGAGCAAGUUGUGGCUGCAAUUUGGUGGAGAAGACCAAGGCACCGUCAAGUCUUGGGUUGGCAACUUCGUGUCAAUUGUCAUGACUUUUUGUCGCCUUUGUGAUUGGCUCAUUCCACUAUGACCUCUCUGUCAGCACAAAUAUCUUAAAAGGUCAUCCAUUAAUGUCAGAAAUUAAUUAAGUCUGAUGUUUAUUUUGAUUUUCAGGUGUCCAUCAUGCAGAUUGCUUCCAGCAGAAGUGUUUUCAUCAUUGAUCUAAUAAAGUUGUCAGGGGAUGUGCCAUAUAUUCUGGAUAACUGCCUGAGUCGUAUUUUACAGUCUUCAAGUAUUCUAAAUCUUGGCAUGAGAAAUUAUUUAGCGUAAUUGUAUUCUGUCCUUCGCUUCUUGGUCCAAGCGUCAGCCUUAAUCUGGUAUCACCAAUAUGCGUCUACUAAUCUAGGGAAAAGAAAAUCAUUGUACUGACAUAAGAAUUUGGAAUUUCUGGUACCAGACGUACAUCGGGGCAUCAAAAAGCAAGAGUUUGGACAAGGAAUAAUUAUUUGUGCAUGUUUGGUACCGAUAUGACUAAGGGUGAUUGGCAUUGAAUGUUUCAGUAUGUUUGUUUUGCUGAAGUGAAUAGCUUUCCACAGAAUUUCCUGAUGUUCCUGCCCUAUGCAGGCUAUAAUUUUCAAUGUGAUAUGAAGCAACUCGCCAGCUCCUAUGAAACUCUGGGGUGUUUUAAGCAUUUUGAAAUGCUGUUGGACAUUCAGAAUGUAUUUAAAGAAUCCAGUGGUGGUCUCUUGGGGCUUGCUGAGGUAAAGUGGACUUGCAUUGUAUGACUAGUAUUGCUGCCUUGCUUACUAACAGUGGUGAAAAGCGGGGAACAUGAUUUCUUCUUGCUCAGAACUCAUGUUGGAAUCUGUGAUGCAUGCCUUUGAGGUCGCUUUUUGCCCUGAUGAGUAAUUACUUUUACCAUUAUCUCUUGCCUCUAACUAGGAAAUACUUGGUGCUGGUUUGAACAAGACAAGAAGGAAUAGCAACUGGGAGCAACGACCUUUGAAUCAAAAUUAGGUUAUUUUACAUGUUCUUUUUCCGUUUUUUUUUAUAUAUUGCCUCAGAAAGGAAAUUGCCGGAAAGAUCACACAAUUUAAUAGCAGAACUCAAAUGGUUGCAGUAGCAUACUAUAAUGUGUGGAAUGCAUCUGGAAGAACGAUAUCAGUACACAGAACUUCAUGGAGACUUCCAAUUAUAUCUUAAUGCUCCAAACAUUCGAGAGCCUAGGGUCAGUAGACAUGAUAAUCAUUUGCUUAAGCGAAUUCUCGAGAUCUUUAGUGCAACAAAAAUUCUCGUGGUGUCUAUUUAAAACAAUGUUUAUGCUGAUAUUUUUUAAAAGAAGUUUUCCUUUUUUUUAUUUUUAUUUUUAUUUUUAUUUUUAACAAACACCAUUUGCUAUUUCAACUCCAAGAAAGAGAGAGAAAAAUAAAGUAUAUUAAGGAGCAAACACAGCAAAGAAAAGAAAAGGAGAAAAGUUAACUGUUGGUGUUUCCUGAAAUAUGAUUAGAGCAGUAGUCCUUUGAUGUAACUGUAACGAUCGCAAUGUUUGCAGCUGGAAUAUGCCGCUCUUGAUGCUGCUGUUCUUGUGCACAUAUUUCAUCAUAUACGGGACCAAUCUCAGCAGGGUACUGCAGAUGGUAAUGACAAAAUCGAAUGGAAGUCUUCUAUAGUAAGUGGACAGCACCUAUUAGUUUUUCUUAAUUCUCCUAUAAGAAAAGCUGAAGUGAAAUGACAUUCUUCUUAAGUUUUGAGCCAGCUUAUUUGACCAUUUAAAAUUAUUGCAGAUUUCACACUUGGAUAAUGCCAAGACAACUAAAAAGAAUGUUCGGAAUAGAAGAAAGUGCAGAGUGGAGACUAACUAGCUGGACAAUCAAUUCAUGAACUGUCGGAGCUAUUUGCUGCAGGGAGUUUUUUCUUAUGUAAAUAGCUUUUGCAUAUAAGGACAUCAUUACUUAGUGAUCCAAUUAACAAUUCUGAUGUGCAUAUGGAAAGGAUUCAUUGCGAAUGAGUACUUCGGUUCCGUCUUCUUGUGCUGGGUCGCUUUUUCUCAAGAGAAUUUAGGUGCCUCAGAAAGCUCGUUGGUCAAAACCUGACCACGGCCACACUCUAUGCUUUUGAGUUCUGGUUUCCCAACACGAAGUUACUAUUGAAUUUCCUUGAUAUGCCGUGAGUGUAUAAAUCUGAUGGAUAUACUCGACAGGAGCCAAAUUGUCUUGUUGAGCCAUUCACCCAAAUGAGCAGCCAUCUAUGCAGAUAUUGUAAUGUAAUGCUCUACCUUGCUCGCUAUAAUUUGCAUUCGUCGUGCCUUUUGUUCAAGCUAAGCGAUUUCUGGGGGAACAAAGCGUGCUGUAUCUGGCAAUAAGAACCAAAAAAAGGGGCGAACGAAACCAAGAAUAACCGCAAUUUAGGUGUGUGCAUGAUUGCGUUUAUAUCCUUUUGGAUUGGUGGAGAUAUUGGUGGAGAUCUUGUGAUAUAACGAUUGAUUUAUUGUUGCGGAUCUUUCUUUGAUUUUUGAAUGAUUGAACUUCCGACUGAUGAACCCCGUCAAUGUAGCUGAUUUGGGACGAAUUUUUCUCGCCACCGAAGCCAAAUCUGAAUCCGAAUCCGGCAUCACGGGUUAGUAUCAAAGAUCUAGAAGCCUUAGUCGCAUGUAACCUCUAACUUCACUUAACAAAAGAAAAGCAUCAUCGUAAUUUCGAAAGAAAAGGGGGAAAAAAGUGAUAUCCAAUGUUAAAAAUAGGUCCGAAUCCUGGUCGCCUAUCUCUCUUACAUGGAAGUUUCCAUCCCCAACAGAAAGAACCACUCUCUGUUUGCUGUCAUCUCCAUAUCAUAACAUUAGAAAGAUCCCUCCUCUCUCUCUCUCUCUCUCUCUCUCUCUGUGAAAAAAGAAUCCUUCCCAUCCGAGAAAGGGGAGAGGCCGAGGCCGGGAGAGAGAGAGAGAGAAAGGGGAGAUACUGAGGACACAGAUGGACCCGUGGUCACCGAGCUACCGAUCCCAUGGAGUUGGCCGGAGUCUAGAGAUCAUGACGAUUCAAACUCGUAACCAAAACCAGAUGUACGUAGCCAAAUCCCGGCCUCGCAUGCUCGAACACGCUUAACCCCCGCACAGACUAGACAACGUGAAGGAGUCGGCGAUAAAAGCAUCGUGGUGGAAUGAUCCGGAGAAGAAGAGGAAGAGGAGGGUGGCCAGAUACAAGCUUUAUUCGGUCGAACGCAAGUUCAAGGCUUCUUUCAAACAAGGGUUCCGAUGGUUGAAGCGCAAAUGCUCGACCUUCGCACGUCGAUUCUAAUUAGCAGGAAUAACGGAAUACCGUGUCCAUCGUCAUCAAGAGAGAAAAAGGGUGAGAAAGAGGAAACAGAGAGAUUUGCUGUGCUCUUUGGGUCUUCAUCUUUAUAUGUAUCUAAUGGUAAUCAAAUAUUUAGAAGGGUGCCACAAUGUUCAAUCUUUCCGAUAUUAUGUUCAUCUGACUCGUUGUUUCAUUCAUCGAUCUCUAGCAUUCAAAACACAGGCAAAUGAGACGACUCUUACGUGACAGUAAUAUAUAUUUAUAUUUGCCGAUUUUUCUUUUUCAUUUUUGAAUUUUCUCACCUUCUAAUACAUUUGUAACAAGAUUCUGCAUCCAUGCCCAUGCAAAGUAGAAUUGUCUGAUUUGUUCAAUUAUCCUCUUUUCUAUAAGCUCUUUUCCUAAUAAAUGUGAUGCUGAUUGCAAAACCAGAUGAAUACUUGUAUUUGUAGGAUUGACAUUACCAUCUAUUUUGUGGUCGAUUUUGUUGGGUACAAUUUUGUUUUGGCCAAAUGUUGUUUACCCCUUGUUUCUGGGGUUCUUUAACCCCCUAAUUUCCUCAAUUUGUCUAGUUCGAUUGCUCUUUGUUGUACGAUUCAUCAUAUGUCAACAUAUAUUCCUGAAAUAGAUAUUCUAAAAUGACAUGCGCCGUGCUAAACAAAAAGGCUUUCGAUGGUUCUAUUUUGGUUUGAGGACAAUUUUCAUAUUUCGAAUGCUAUCCUGUUGAGACCGAAGUUACAAAAAUGUGGAAAACUGAAAGGCCCAAAGGGAACCCUCUUUAAUUCUAUCAAAACUUGCGUAGUUAUUGUUCAAAUGGUCGUAAUUUAUAGGAUCUUGAUGUAAAAUGUUAUAGAACUUCAAAAAACAAGGUCAAAGCAAAUCUUUGGCAUGAAAUCGAAGGAGGAGAGUAUGAAAACCCAUGAGCAGAACCGAACCGGUUCACCAGGUUUAACACCUUCAUCUAGUUAUCUAGUCGAUUCACAGUUUUCAAAUUUUAAAUCAAUUCAACCGAUAAGGUUGUGACUAAUAUUCUAAAAGUAGUCAAAACACAUAGCCAUUGCCCUUUGGAAUAAUGGCUUAGACACUGGUUAAGCAACUUAGUAAAUAAAGUGUAGACUCAAUACAUCAACUUGUGAUUUUUCUUGUGAAAUGUUCAAUCAAUAUUCUGAAAAUUUAAUUAUUUCACAUUAAGUAUGUUUAACAAGUAUUUCGACACGACCCACACUAUAUUUGUGUUAGUAAUUAAAGAUUCGAACUUGGCUUAAAAAGCUACUUGCCCUUACAAGCUACUUGGCCUUUGUAUUGAGCUCUGGAAAAAUUGAGUAUAAGUUCAAGUAGACAAGCAGCGAAAUAGACAGAGUACCUUGCCAGUAGCUUUCAGCCUUUCAACAACUAAAAUUCCACCAUUGCCAUCUAGUACAAGGGUACAGGAAUAUCAAAGAGUAACCUCAAAGAAAUUGCUUCGAUUGGGGCUUCAAUGCGUGACUGGUAACACAAUUUGGUGUAGUAGAGUCUGAUUAUUAACCAAUAAGAUGACCCUUUUAAAGUUUUUUGUUCAAACCAAAUGAGUAAACUUUGGUAAUGGCCCUUUUCACCCUUCCAAAAAUUUCCCAUAUUUUUCAAUAGUCUUCAAUCGUAGCCUACGCCAGAGAAAAAUAGGUUUCAGAUAUGAAAAUGUACGUCAAUGUGGCUCUUCCGCUUUUAGAUUCAUGCUUAAAUAAAUCAAGUUUCAGAUUAUAAGAUCAAAACAAUUGCAAAAUACCUACAUAUGAUUUUUCAACGUAACCAGACUAGAAAGAUGAUUUUACACUGACGAGCGCCUUAUUUUGUGUUCAAGAUUAUUGAGAAAACUACUGUCUUCUUGGAAACAUUAUCAUUGGAACUCUUUCCUGCAAUUGACAAAUUAUUUGCUAAUUCCAUGGCAUUCGCUUUUUCCACAAAAAGAAUCUCUCCGCCACAAAAUUUUAUAGCUUGAAGUGGACAUCUAACCAGUAAUCUCGUUAGCAAAUCUCAUUUGAUGCUUAACCUGCAAAUGCUUUCUUCCAGCAAGCAAUUUGUGAUUCGGCCUUUGCUAAAGAAUAGCACGAUGUCAAAGCUCGCCAAGGCCUAAUGCACCAUAUGAGAAGAGGUCGCUUCACAUCUAGAAUCCUUUGAAGAGUACUAACAACACAAACGCCAACAGUAAAUAACUUCGGGAUGACUUUCCAUAAUGACAAAGAUCAUUCCUGCUCGCAUCUCCAUCCCAUGGUGUUUGGGGACUUUCUCUGAGUUUCCUGAAUUGCAGCUUGAAUCUACACCAGAGGAAUAGCACUGACUAUAAUCAUCAGUAAUGAGAAAAAACCAAGAUACGUAGCAUCACAAUUUACCCCAUCAAAGAUAAGGUACAAAUGCAUAAACAUCAUUUCCACCAGUUGGACCACAAUAAACAGACGCUUCAUUCGCAGGCCGAUGAAAUAGAAAACAACAGACUUGGAGAAGUAAGCAAUUAGCAAUACUUCCCUUGUUUGUAUUUAGGAACAAAAUUGAUGCUAACAGAAUGACGCUGAAAAGGUGUGAGUGCCUAAACCACAUGACAGAAGGAUGUAUUUGUUACUUGGGUAUUUCGUAAUAUCCCCUUACCAAAAUCAGCAAUACUGAAUAGUUUGCAAGGAGGUCAAUUUCAACUUUACAAAUCCAAUACCGCAUACAUGAGAGUUGAGCCUAUCAAAUCAAAAACCUAUAUGAGAACAUUUACAAGAUAUUAUCACACUAAUAAACUGAUAGAAAUGGAGGAGGUUGUCAUCAUGCAUACUUGCGUACUAAUUUCAGGUGAAAUUCCACAACUCAUAUAGUCUAAGCACACAAGUUAGUCUUUCAUCGUACAACUAGCAGUGCAUACCUCUCCCUUCAGAGCCUCAGCGAGUUCAGGGGUGAUAUAUUUAGAAUGCAAUUGUAUCAAACAACUUUGCAUCAGGGUAACAUACAAAAAGUCAGCAGCUACAUGUUUGAUUAAUGAAGAGAUAGAACCUAAUGAGCAUACAGAAACCUUAUUUUAUAUAUAUAUAUAUAUAUAUAUAUAUAUUUACAAUCGUUCAGGUAUGUACUGUUGAGACAUGAUCAAGUGAUCGAAUAUUCACAAGCAUCAAAACUUCCUCAGGACACUCCGGUUGGCCCCAGAGCAUCUUCAAGGUCGGCACAAGAGAUGGUCCUCGGCUGUUGUUGAUGCUUCCUCUGCAAAAUCCCCUUUCUUCAUUUUGAUUGGUCUCAGGUAUGGAAUUUGAAGUUCCUCAGCCAAGUUAGAACUAGUAAUCAUGUUAACAAAUCUCAUUUUAUACUUGACUUCACAUAAAGAACCACCUGCACAUGCAAUCUUCCUAAAAGUGAUUUGUGAUUCAGUCUUUGCCAAAAAACAGGACGAUGCCAAAGCUUGCAAAGGACUAAAACACCACAUGAGAAGAGUUCGCUUGGUAUCAAGAAUCCUUUGGAGAGUAUUAACAACACGGAGCACAUGAUAAACGCCAUUAGCAAGGAACUUCGGAAUGCCUUUCCAUAAUGACAGCUCAUUCCUGCAAUGUUUUGGAACUUUCUCCGAGUUUCAUGAAAUGCAGCUUCAAUCUACACAAGGAAGAUAGCACUGACUAUAUCAAUAAAUGAAGAUAUCUGAGAUCCAAGCAUCACAAUUUACCCCAUGAGAGAUAAAGUACAAUUGUGUAAACAUCAGUGACACCAAUUGCAGUUAGACGACAACGAACAGAGACUUCAUUAGCUGGCCGAUGAAAAAGAAACCAACAGGCUCAAAAGAAGUAAGCAAUUAGCAACACUUUCCCUGUUUGUGUUUAAAAACAGAACUGAAGUUAAUAAAAUUAUGCUGAAAAGGUGAAGUGCCUAAACUAUAGAACAGAAAGAUGUAUUUGCUACUAGGUUAUUUUGCCGGAUCCAAUUAGCAAAAUCAGCAAUACAGGAUAAUUUGCGAGGAACAAAUCCAAUGCCGCAUACAUGAGAGCUGAGCCUAUCAAAUCAGAAACCUAUCUGAGAACAUUUAGAGGAUAUUAUCACACUAAUAAACUGACAGAAGUGAGAAGAUUGUCAUCAUGCAUACUUGUGUCCUAAUUUCAAGUGAAAUUCCACAGCUCAUAGAGAAUAAGCACACAAUUUAGUCUUUCAUGGUACGACUAGCAGUGCAUACCUCCCCUUUCAAAGCCUCGUCGAGUUCAGGAGUGAUAUCAUUAGAAUGCGACCGUAUCAAGCAACUCUACAUCAGGGUAACAUAUAAAAGGUCAGAAGCUAUGUUUGAUUAAUGGAGAGGUAGAACCUAAUGAGCAUACAGAAAGCCUAUUUAAUUUAAAAAAGUACAUUUACAAUUGUUCAGGUAUGUGUUGUUGACACAAGAUCACAUGUUUGAACAUUCAUACACAUCAAAACUUCUUUCGAACACUUCAGUUGGCCCUAGAACAUCUUCAAGGUUGGCACACAAGAUGGUCCUCAGCUGUUGCUGAUGCUUCCUCCACAAAAUCCCUUUUCUUCAUUUUGAUUGGUCUCAAGUAUGGAAUUUGAAGUUCCUCAGCCAAGUUAGCCACACCAAAAUCAGUCGUGAUAAAACAAUUCCAUGGCAGCAAUAUGAUCAAACGUGAUGCAAACCAAUUAGCCAAUUCUUGAGCCCCUCGUCCCAGCUUGUUUCACAGAUGGGAAAAUUUUUUCUAAUUAUGCAAAAGGUCAUCAACACGGAUGACUGAAUUAAAGUCCCAAAGUAAGCCUUGAUCAUUACAUAGACCAAUCAAACCUGUCAUAGAAGCAGCACCAGUUUACCUUGCUUGAUAAUAUUUCAAAACAACAGUUUGACUACUGGUAAUGUUAAGGUGGUCUACAUUCAUAUAUGACAGACUAGCCAAAACAACUUUUAACAUUUUCUUUGUCACCAAACAGAAACACUUGAACCUUGAAUUUUAUUUUGGCUCAGUUGAUCAUAUUCCGAGGAGAAGCGCUCUUCUUAGAAGGUUAAUGAGGGACAUCAAUGGAACGAUAAGAAAUUUGGCGGGGGUUUCAUUCAUUACGGAAAAUCCAAAGGCGAACAGGAUAUCUCCCAUUAGUCAAAUUUGACAUACAAAAGAACUUUCAAAGAAAAUAUGAACAUUGGAAGUUGGGAAACUCUGGGUGUAGUAUACAAUAAUGAGUAGUAGAAGUUCAUCAGCCUCUAAAUGAAAAUUUCAAAUCCCGAGUUUACCGAUAAGGGAACUGUUAAUUACAAGGUAAUUCUUGUUUACCUUUAUUGAUAUUUUCAUUCUUGCCUCGCAAGCUCCUAUAUGUUUGCAAUCUACAAAAGCUGGCAAUGGAAGAAUAAACGAAAAACAUUGCUAUAAUGUAAUUAACAGCAAUUAUACAAAGGCAAAUCUGGAGUUUCCAAAAUCAAUCAAAUAGAUACCCAGUGUAGAGCAAAUCAUUCUAAAAACUUCUCUUUGUGCUCACAUUGGCGAUUCAAGGAUGAAGAAUCUUACUAUGCCUUCUAUUGACAUUUGGAGCUACAUUUUGAUCUUGGCUGAAGCAUCAUGUCAGCUUCUGACCGACUCCCCCAAUCCUUCAAUCGUGUAAGACUAGCAAUUUAGAAAAUUCCACAACCCUGCCAUGGAAAACCUUAUUGUCAAAAGAAAAUGAUGAAAAGUAGGUCAUGAAUCUGAUAAGAAAAAUGAUUGUUCACUGCUUAUUUACCUUAUAUAGGAAAUGAUCACUCCAUGAGUCAAAAUCCAGGUCUUCAUCAUAAUUUCUUAAGAUGCGCGUUCCAGAUAAUUUCGGUAAUGCUUCCAAUGAGUCACAACCAGAAAUAUCCAAAUCAAUUAAAUCCAACUUUUCAAGUCCCCAAAGCUGAGUAAGUUUCUUGCAGUCUCGAACUCCUAGAGAUUGUAACUUCUCACAUCCCGUCAAAUUUGGCAAAGCCUCCAUUGAACUGCAUCCUGUGAGAUCCAACAAUUCUAAGAACUUCGCACCGUCAAGACCUUGAAUUUCAACCAUAUUGUCGCAGUAGACAACCUCUAAUUUCUUCAAACACCGUGAUUCUGGACAGAGAAGCCUUUUAAUGGAAGCACACUCAUAUAUAAAUAUGACCUGUAAGGACUCCAAAUUAUCAUAGCCCUGAAUUUCUACUAGGUUAUUGCAACCCUUAGCAUGCAAUCCUUUCAGACGAACCAAUCCUGAAAGGUCCAAUCUUUCAAUGGAACCGCACUCUCUUAUUGAAAACCCUUCCAAAUACGUGCAUCCAUCAAGAUUGAGCAAUAUCAGCUUAUCACACUCCUCAACACAGAGUUUCGAGAGUCUUGAGGAAAGCUCGGGGAUGGAUUCAAGUAGAGGACAUGCCUUAAGAUGGAGUUCUUUUAGGUGGAUUAGGCUAGAAAGCUGUGGCAACCUUCUGGGACUCUGACAAGAGAUCGACAGCUUAGUUAAGCCCAAAGAAAGCUCUGGCAACGACUGGAGCUCCUUACAGUCCACUAGUUCAAGGCGUCGGAGAGAAGAAAGAUUCCGGACACUUUCUGGCAGGUUAGAUAUCGGUGUCCAAGCGAGAUUGAGAUACUCGAGGGAAGACAAGUCACCGAUUUCACUUGGAAGUUUUUUUAUCACAGAAGCACUCAAGUCAAGACGUUGCAAAUUCUGUAAAUCCCCAAUUGAGCUAGGGAUUUCUCUCAGUGACUUACAGUAGAAAGCACUCAGUUUCUUCAGCUCCCUCAGAGAAGCAAUAGACGGAGGAAUCUCUGUAAUACCAGAAGAAUCUAAUAAAAGUUCUUCUAAAGCUUUUAAUUCGCCCACCUCCUCUGGUAGCUCCUUGAGACCUUUACAGAAUUUCAAGUCCAAGAAACAAGGGCCGUGAGUUUGCCAAUAGACGGUGGAGAUGCUCCAGUCUGCCACAUUGGACCAAUUUGAGAAUCUUCAACUGUGUGAAAGCCGAGAAAUCUGGAGUACAUCUUAAACUAGGACACCCAUAAAGGGCGAGAACUUUUAGCCGCUUUGACGCGUGAUGCAAAAAGAGAAUAAGCCAUCAAAGAAGAGGAGUUGAUCGGCUAAAUAAAAACAAAAUUCUAAAAUCGCAGAGAGGAUGUCUUUUUUCCCCAAUCUUACCAUGAAUGAAUUCCAUCCUUUCCAAUCCUCUGUGAUCUUGCUGUUACAUAACUCCAGCACCGAUAAUUCCGGCAGAUGCAAAUUGGUUGUCGAAAGAGACGCAUGGCUUUCAAGAACAUCCCACCGAAGCCAUCUGACUUCAGAAAGGGAUUGCUUGAUGCCUCCGCUUGAAGUUGCCCCCAAAAAGUCGUGGAACCAGGGACAUCUCUGCAAGUUUUUGAACUUUUUAUUUUUUGCUUUUUUUAAAUCUUGGAUUUGCACGAUUUGAUACCUUUUUAUCCUUCCCCAAUACAAAUAUGGAAACAUAAACUUACAUUUAAUUCUUUUUUUUUUUGACGACCUUUCGAAAAAUUAAACAAAUGACACUAAGAUAAAGAAAAAAAUAGUUAUUGCUUUAAAACAACUAAGGUGAAUGCACCUCAAUGUUUUGUCUCUUGCUUCUUCUUUUUUUCAAAUUUUGUAGCACGUACACUUUGACUUUUAUUUAAAAUACAUGAAACCAUUUUACAACGUCCAAAUGUUUAAUUGUAAAUUUUCAUAUGACUUCUCUAUAAUUUCUCUAAAGAAUAUGUCAAAAAUUGCCAAUGGGCCACUUGUAAGUAGCUAAGGAAGCACCCGGUUUUCAUUUCAUUAGUUAAAUGUACUAAUGCGGAAGAGAAAAAAAAAUGAAUUUUUUAAUAUAUUUCAAUAUAUAAAAAAGAUUAUAUGGAAGGAAAUCAAAAGAAAUCAACUCUGAUAUGCAUAAUCAAAAUAGAUAAAGAAAAUCAAAAUAAAUAUACUAAUUAUCUCUAGAAGAUAUCUAAAUAUCUUUAACUUCAUUAACUAUUUAUGUGAAAUAUUUACUCAUUUCUUUGAAAAUUGAAACGUUUUUUUUUUUUUUGGAAAGUAUGUUUAAAGAGUGACGUGGUGACAUUGAUUAGCAAUUUUGACAGGGAUUGGAAAAAAGAAAAAAGUCACUUUCAAAGUAACUGAAAAAUGAACCGAUUAACCAAAAAGUGACGUGGUGACAUUAUUUAAUCAUCAUAUGUCCGUUUCCAUAAGAAUGGCAUCGUUUCUUUUUCAUCUUAUAAAUCAAAAAACAUACUGUUAACUUUCGUGCUGAAAUAGAUCCUUUGAUUAGUUGAAGAUGGUGAAAAAAAAUCCCUGAUGGCUUUGAUUGACUUUUAUAAUAAUGCCUAUAUUUUCCCCCAAAAGUUCAAUUGGUUAGAAAUUCACUUUUAUGGUGUGACAUGUCUGUUAUUAUCUCUGCUUUAAAUAUUACCAGUGAAAUGCAAUAGGUAUAAGUUAAUCUUUAUUCGUCAGAAAAGUUGCUAAAUUGUUGUAAUCACCAUCCCACAGUAUCUUUUAUAAUUUUCGCUAGUACUAUACUGUAUAUUACAUCAAAAAAUCUACUGUAUGGAACGGGGAUUUUAAACCUCAAACUUCCCUCAAAAGUUUCCACACAAUUCGCAUAUAUUUCACCAAAAUAAACUAAAGAAAUAGGAUAUAACAAAAUAGACAUAAUCAUAUUUGAAAUAGUCAAGACAAUUGGAAAUUAGUCCCAUAAGUAUUUCAAUUUCUAAAGUUAAAUAAAAAUCUCUCAAAUCGUACAAUCCUUUAAUAUUUUUCUGACACUAUUUAUCAUCUUUCAACAUUUUCGUCCAUUCAAAACAGAAUUGACUUUUCUUUUUCAUUUUUCCAAACACCUGUAUCGUGUGCUCUUUUUGCUAAUGUAAAGAAGUGAUUGGAUCAACAAAAGAGUGAUAUUAAAUCAUAGGAACGAACUAUUUCAAAUUAUAUCAAGAAACUAAAGCUGCUUUGUUUGCCCAACAUCUCUUGGUCAAUUUCUUGGUUUAAUUCAUCGCCAUUGAUCAGCCAUGAGCCUAUGAGGCUUUCCAAACGGACAAAAUAUAACAAAAGGACAUGAACAUUGAUAAUUUAAGUAAAAGAUAAAACAUAGUUGAAAAAAUUGGCCUCGUGAUGAAAAUCAGAUAUAAGAAUACAAGGUUAUGGAUAUAAUAAUGAGCAUGACAUUUUCCCCGAUUUAUCAAGUUUUCUUCUUCUUCUUUUAUUUUUAAAAUGGUCAAGUUAGUCUAGCGAAUUCUAGCACAAAAGAGGCAUUGUCCCGAAAUAUAUAAAUAAUAUAAUACAACUUAUAGCAGAUAGUAAUGUUUGUUAUAAGGAAAUCCACUCUUUAUUAUACACCUAACCUAAUCCAUGAAAUGAGCAAGGUGAAUGGGAUAAAACCCUAAAAAAAUGUAAGAUUUUCCUAUGUAUAUUCUUGAGGGGAUUUUUGCUAUCUAUUAAGAGGAAAUAAGAAUGAAAAGAGAUAGAUAUAACUUAGGAAGCGCUGACACUCUUCAGGAACCUUAGUGUAAUGUCAAACACUCCGAUACGUGUCCAACACUCUCCAACACUCUCUAAUACUUGGUCAAUUCUCCUGACACUCAAGUCCAAAAUUUUGACAUGCGAGUUCGGAAUUCUGACACAUGAUUCUAAUAUGCACAUGAUCAAUUUUAAAAUUUUUCAAUAAGAGGAAUCAAAAUAUAAAUAUGUAAAAAAAUAAAAAAAUAAUAAAAUUAAUAUAGACAAGAAAAACCUAAUAUUCUCUUCUCUUUUGACUCUCACUUCACGUGAGAUACAAUUCACCCCCAAGUUUUGACACACUAAUCCAGAAUAUGCAUUGCUUGUUUUUUUCCUCUUAAGUUUUAUAAAUUAUUGAAACGGAGUUGAAUUUGUCAAAUUAAAACAAUGAUAUCAAUAAAUGGUGGAUUAAUGUUUUUAGUGUAAAUGCAUUAUAAGCUCUUUUUAUAUUUAUUUAUUCGUGAAUUUGAAUAAAAUUUUAAUUAAAAUGAUCAUUUAUAUAUAAAAAUAUACAUUUCAUAAAUAACAUGUUCAAACAUGUUGAAAUUCUAUAUUUUUUUACAAACGUGUGGACGUGUCGUGUCGUGUCACGUUGCAUGUCGCGUGUCGGUGUCAGUAAUACUUAGAAUAUAACUAAUAGAGGGAGCGGUAUCUUCAAAAUCAAAAUGGAGAAAAAAAUAUCAAACAUUCAAUUCCUAAAUCAAAAGAGCACCACAAUACAUUCGGCCAUACUAGAGAGCAAACAUAUGUGAUAAUUGUGAAAUUUUUUUCCAAUCAUAUUGUUUGAAUUAAUUAUCGGUUAUUAUACUAUCAUUUUUUUCAACUAGGAAAUCUUCAUUUAUUUGAUCUAUGAUGUUUAUACUUCAUCUUCAUUCAUAAUUGUAGUCCUUCUAAUUAUCAAUAUUUUCAACUAGGUACAACAAUUACAUGCUUUAAGUAAAAUCUUAAAUUGAUUGUCAAAACAAAUUUUUACGUAAGUAAUUUAUAUAAAUGCAAUUGAAUCAAUGAUAUAACUUUUUCAUCCUUGAGAUGCUUAUAAAUUAUUUAGUGUCACAAUUAAUCUAUGAUGGGCAUAAAUGGAUGUUUAAAAAGAUUUUUUUUUUCCCUAGAAAGUAAAGAGCAUCUUUUCAUGCUGGAUGAAAUAUUAGAAUAGAUGACCUUAAAUUUAUUAAAAUAAGGGGGAGAGAAGGAAAAAAGUGCCAUAUUUUACCUCAAGAUGUCUUAGCACUCUUGGGACUCUUGGGACUCCCUCAUAAUCGUUGUCCCGUGGUGUACUGCAUUUCUUAAGCAGUUGUUCUUGGUGAAAAAUGCUCCUUCCAAGAUCUCUCAGUUGAUCAUGCACAAUAAACUCACCAUAAUCUCCGAUUUUAAUUAAGCACCUCAACUUCAACUCAUUAAUUCCUAGAUUUGGAAAAAACUCACAGUCCUCCCACAUGUACAUGGCAUAUUGUAUAAAACAUUCAUGGUUUAGUUCAUCAAGAAAUAAACAAACAAUAUCGAGAAAAAUCUGCUUAUGUCCAUCUUCUAAUGCAUCAUAGCUUAUUUGCAAUUUCUCUUGGACUCCUUUAUGUAGUUGCUUUUUUAAUUGCCUCCGCACAUCUUCCCAUACUUUUGGAUCCAUUUUUCCAUACAAGGAAGAACCUACAACCUUAAGAGCCAAGGGAAGCCCACCCAUGGUGGAUACAAUAUCACUAGAUAUACCCUCAAAGUCCCUUGGAGAAUGGUCCUUACGAAAUGCAUGUCUGUUAAACAAAAGCAAAGCACUCACCUCAUCCAAUUCAUUCAAUUCAUACUUGUAGUCUACCUUGAAUUCAGAUUGAUCAAGAAUAGCUUCAUUUCUAGUUGUAACAAUGAUCAAACUUCCUGCCAUAAACCAAUCACGUUCCCUAGCCAACGCAUCAAGUUGAUUCUUACCAUCUACAUCGUCCAGAAGAAUGAGAACUUUUUUUCCUUUGAAUUUAUAUUUGAUGAUAUUAAUUCCAUCAUCAGUUCUAGACACGUGACUUUUGCUUAGUAGUAUAUCCGAUAUUAAUUGACUUUGUAAAUCUGCAAUCCCCUUGCACCUAGUAGUUUCUCCAAUGUUUGGAAGGAAGCUAGCACACACAAAUGUAUUCGAGAGUUGAUUGUAGAUGCACUUGGCAAGAGUUGUCUUGCCUAUCCCGCCCAUGCCAUAAAUUCCAAUCAUUCGAGCAUUGAUGGAAGGACUGUCUAUCCAGUUCAUAAUUUCCUUCAUAUGAGCAUCAAGUCCAACUAGUUGCUUAGGCACAUCCAGCUGAAAAUAUUCCUGUAACUUGUUUAUAAUAGUUUCGACCACACGUUCUACUAAUUCUCCCUCAUGCCUGUCAAACAACAAAAACAACGAGAGAUUAUGAACCUUGACAUAGUUUGUGAAGUUUUCAAUCCUUACCAACUAAGCUCACCCUUGUUGGCUAUAGGAGGUCAAUUUUAUCUGGUGGUGAUCAAGUUUUGGAAGACUGGGCAUUGGAGUCCUUUGUAGGCCUAUUGUUUAGUGAUUGAUACUAUUGGCUAGAGGUACGGUCUUUUUUUUUUUCUUUUUUUUUGGCUCUCUAGCAGAGGACAACGUAAAAUUCUUGGGCACUGUGGGAAGCUUUGGUUUUAGUUGUCGUUAAUUUAGUUUUCAAGGUCAUCUUGGGGAGUAAUGGUGUUUGUUGUCUUCGAGGCAUUAUGGUUGUUUAUUGGGCCAUUUUGGGGAUCUUUUCUGAGCUUGCAUUGAAUUAAUUCAUUUGCAUUUCAUUGGUUCUGCGAGAAGAAGAAAACUUAUCAAAAAAAGAAAAGUUAUAUGAAGUACCCGUUGGCAAAUUUCUCAGAUUCCCAUCCAUGUAAGAAACUGACUUCAUUAAGUGCCCGCGGCCCUUCCAGGAUAUCCUCCUCAUUAAGAUACUUCUGACUUGAACGGAAGGCGUCCCCAAAACUCUCAUUUAGAUACCGCACAUCCGAUGGCUUCACUUCGUAAAAAAUUGGCAACACUAUGUGUGACAUGCUAUUCUUACAAUCUAUCAUAUGAAUGAGCUCACGGAGGCACCAUUUACUCGUAGCAUAAUUUUUGGAGAUGAUGGGGAUCGAAAUUUUAGACCGUGAGAUGGCACUGAGAAUCUGUGAACCAAAUUCCUCACCAAUUGGGAUGCUGUUAUCGUCCCUGAACACGGAAAUAGGUACAGUCCCUGCAUUGACCAAUCUAUGGUAGAGGUGAUCGGCAAAUUUCUUUCGAGUAUCUGAGCCACUAAAGCUCAAGAAUACGUCGUAUUGAUGACCACCUUGUGUUGUGGGCACCAGAGAGAUGAACGAAGAAGUGGAUGCUCCCUCAGUGCUCUCUUCCUCUGCUCUCUUUCGCUUUCUCUGACUCUCCCCUCUGUCCAUGGUGAUCUGAGAGGGGAAGUUGAAAUGAAAGAUGCUUUUUCUGCUGCUUCAAAGGAUUGAUGAACAACAAAAGACACUUUUAGGAUGCUUUUCUGCAAAUGCUUGUUGGCUUGGUCCACUCCAAAUAACGUGGACGUUAAUUUCUCCCCAAGGCAAUGCUGAAGGAGUUUCGAAUUCUUGAGAAAGACAUUUUGAUGACACGGCCCUCAGUUAAGUAAGCUGACGUCGUUUCACUGUGGAAGAUUAGGUGGCCCUAAAAAGGCCCCCGAAAAGCCCACAUCAUUUACUUGUUUAGAAACACAUAGUUGAAACACAUAUAGAUAUUAAAACACAUAUGAAAACAGACUGAAGUGUAAAAAAUUGAACAACUACAUAACUUCAUGCACGUUAUGAUAUUCUAAGACUGAUUCUUUCGAUUCGCACCUAAGAUACUGAAACUAUGUUGGAAACGCUAUGGAAGCAUCUUCCCUUAAACAAAACCUCACAUGAUGCCUAAUCCUUAUCAUAAUCUUCAACCUUACUCUUAUUAAUUUUGGCCUAAUAAUAAACAACCCUGACUAUGUCCCCCACCUCAUCAUCACAAUCCCUUCUCUAUCUAAUCCCAUUUCCAUUGGCCAAACUAAUGUAGUGUCACGUAAUUGUUGCCCAAUAACCUCAUCCUCUAGAUGUGUGCACUUUUCUACUCGCGAUUUUAAUUUUGCAGGGUUCAAGUUUAAGGCAUCGCUCAUAUGUAAAAUUAACUAAAGCUGAAAUAUUAAUCGCGGAAAAAUUUUCGAUUGCCCAGUUGCUUAAAUUAUGAAGGAAGUCGAUGAAAAUGAUUCUAAAUGAAAGACAACUACUUCCUUUUGGGCCCACGUUUUCUUUUUCCCUUUCUAGAAGUGCAUAGAAAUUAGGAAAUGUAAAAGUUGCACUUUUCUUCCAAAAUUGACCUUGCUUCCUUUUUUAAGGAUGAAUAAAUGAAGGAUGAUCAAGUCUAUCAAUGAAAUUAAGUUCCAUUUACAUCAUUUCCACCCAACAUGUAUACGAACAUAUUUCAAGGAAUUUUAACCUUCCCUCUCAUGGUCUGCCUGUUUUUUCAUUCUUCAUUUUGAAAUUUUGAAAUUUAUGGCUUUAGUAUGCUCAAAAUUGGGCCUUUUGUGGGAUAAAAAUUUAUGGCUCUGAAAUAAGAUUAAUAUUAAUACAAAAGGCUGCGUCCCACUUGUAGUUCGAAUACUGCGGGAAGCAAUUUUGCUCUUUGCUUUAGAUGUAAUGCAAUAUGUUGCAUCCUUUUGCAUGUAUACAAAUUAGCAUAUCAAACGGUGUCGUGUUGACAUUUCAUAUGGUGAAACAUUUGAUAUUCGCAUUUGUUGUGUCAUGUCAUCUGACCCGCUUUAUUAAAAGAGGCGUGUUCAUAUCGUGGCAGUUCAACACGUUUACUAAACACUUCUUGUUCAGCUUUUGUCAUAUUCAUGUUAUAUCCUACUUCGACAUGACACGACAAAAAUCCCCAGCUAUAUCUUUAAACACAUGACCGCUCACAAAACCAAUGGAAAAUAAAUAAAAAGAAUGUCCAAAGUCUCUGAAUUUUUGUGGUAUUUAAGGACCGCUCGACGAAACUUAUACUUGAUUUUUUUCCGAAAAAAAAAAAAAAAGAAUUGCUAAAGUGAACAAGUCUCUCGGCCUUUGUUCUCGGAUCAGGGUACUCUCCCUCCUGCUUAACUUCAAUCAAUCUUAGACCUCUUUGUUCUCUCUACUUGUGUUUUGGUUCAAAUUCGGUGAUUUCAUAUUUUCAUCUUAUUUAAAAUUGCUAUAUUCUUAAUGAAGUUGUAAAUGUGAGGUAGACACCAAUUUAAUUUUAUUUAAAUUAUCGAUUGAUAUAUUGUCUACAAAAUAGAGCUAUAAUUUCUUAAAUGACACCCAAUGAGCAUGACAGAUUAAAAUCAAGUUACUAAUGAUAUAUGAAAUACUUGUACACUGUCAUUUCUUUUAUUAAAAUUUUGUUGGCAUAUUAUUCACCUCUUGAAAAAUCAGUAGACCAAUGAAAAAAGAAGUAUGCGAAAUAUUUUUAAAAAAAAAAAGAAGAAGAUAAUUUCGGAGAAAGCAUAAAAAAGAAGGGAAUGAAGUGUCAAAUGAAAUCUCCUUUAACUGAAGACUUACUCUUAGGAUGAUUGGUUUCAAGAUGAUUAGGUUCUAAGCUAAGAAUUAGGAAUUUAUACAAUAAUAAUCGGUUCUCCAUUUUUGUAUCCGAGAACCAAACUAGCUGACCCCAAACUGGCUGACUUUUAUUUUUCUGAUUUAUUUUUCUAUAAAUUGAUCUAGGACCUUCAAACACAGAGAAACCUCACAACGCAUUAAAAUAUAUAUAUAUGGAUUCAAGCAAAAUAUGGAAAUUUUGCGCGCAAUAGAUUCUGGCGCACUUGCAGAUCUACUCAUUCUAGUUCAACAAAAGAUUAAUACUGAAUUGCAAUGCAACUAACAAUCUGACAACAAGGCCAUCAUGGCAUUAGCCACAUCUAAAGUUGAAAACAAAGGAUUUCUUUUUUCACCGAAGUCAAAUCUAAGCGGGGGGACAUACCUCGUCAACAGGCAGCAGCGACUCCAAAGAAAGAAUAAAAGACCCUCCUCAGCUAUUCAGCAGCCACCCCACAUCGCCAAUAGACAAAAAGGGCCCAAAACACACUAGUUCAGCCCAUCAUUAUUCCAAUAACAAAGCAGCGGAUCAAUAGAAACGACACGCUAAUUAGACAUGAAAAAGCAAUUACCUCCCGCGACCUGAGACGCAAAGAGAGAUGCGACAUCAGAGAGAGGAGACCCUAAACAAGCCUAGGUGAGAACUUUCGAGAGGGAAAAGAUCAAAGAAAGCAAAUGAGGACGAUGGUUUUGAAUUGUUCUGCAAAAGAGAGGCCAAACAUGAGAGAGAGAGAGAACAUUUGGACCAGAGUAUAGAUUGACNNNNNNNNNNNNNNNNNNNNNNNNNNNNNNNNNNNNNNNNNNNNNNNNNNNNNNNNNNNNNNNNNNNNNNNNNNNNNNNNNNNNNNNNNNNNNNNNNNNNACCAUUUUGUUAAACAGAUAAAUGUAACUCUUGCUAAUUUUUCAUUAUGAUAUUAUCAAAGACGUUCUUCCUCCUGUAAAUGCUACAUUCUCUCCCACCAUGAACAUGCAUUAAUCAUAUUGUCAAAUCUAUGGUAGGUCUGUAACUUUCUAUGCUAUAUAUAUAUGUAAAAGUCACAUAUUUGCUGUAAGCAAUUAAAUUACAUGAAAACCACACUUUGUGACGAGUUUCUCUAAUUCAAUCCGCUAAGACAGUCCACCUAAAAAUUGUCCACAUAUUAAAUAUGUGUAAGUACAUCGAAACCAGCAGCUUUGCUCAAUUUCAAGUUUUCCAUUGUAACCAACACGCGAAGGAAAAAAAAAAAAACAGUACAAUUAUGCAUAAUUUCUGGAAAACAUUUGAAUUUUCUGUCAUUUCUAGAAAUUACGAAAAUUACCAAUAUAAUGGAAAAUAGCUUUAUGGACAUUCAAAAAUUCUCCAGUUGAUAUGAUGUGUUCAGAUAAUUUUUUGUUGUUGACAAUUCUAAUCCGCAGCCUUUGAAAGGUUUUGUGCGAUUAUCGAAGAGAAUAGACCAACACAAUCAAUAUUUGAAAAAAAAUCUAGUUUUUAACUGUUUCCAAGGAAAAAAAAAGAAUUACUUUUCCAAAAACGGAGUAUUUUGGAUGUUUCAGGCUUUAUUGCGUCUAGAAGGGUAUUUUCGUAAUCUUAAGACAGGCCUUUUGUCCCAAGGGAGUUCAGUCAACCAUAUAAGUUUUGCAAACAAUAUGGGGAUGAGGGCCAGCACGUGAUUCCACCCAAUUCAAUCAGUCUAACCAUUCAUAACCAAUUAGUUUAAAUGAGAAGAUUGUAGUAACAAAAAUUAGCAAUAUAUAUGUGAUGAUGAUUUUACGAAAGUCGAGGGAAUUUCACAUGUAUUAUUAUACAUGCAUUAUUAUGUAUGCCUUAAAAGGAUGUUAGAAGUUAUGGGAUGAGUAAUAAAUAAUCACGCGUAUUUUAUUCUUUGUGCUAUCAAUUGGAAUAGACCAGAGAAUGAAGGUUGUGCUUACCUCCAGGAGCGAUUCAGAGAUGAAAUAGCUGUAACGGGUUUCAGUGUUUGAGAAGAAGUCGCCUUGAAGUAGAUCGAGUUGGGUCCGAGUCCCGAAAGGCCGCGCAAUCCCGAGGAUCACCUUCACGCCUCGACCUAGACCGGCUUGGUUUGGAAAGACACGAAGGCAAAUUUGCAGAUCAUCUCAGGUCAGAACGUCGCGAGAAAGGACGAGUAGUGGCUACGAAAUCACCAACUACAUACGGGGAACUUGCUAUCUUUCGAUACAAUCCAGAAACGACCUCGUGUUCCGCCGAAGACCCCCCAAAUCCAGGAACCCUAAUCACCUCAGCGGAGUCCGUUAUCAGAAAUUAUAGCAAGCGGAACACUAAAAAGUUCGAAACUCGACACGAUUCGAGUUGAUUUUACCUGCUGAUUGGUGCCCGCCGAAAAACCAGUCCUUUGAAGCCGGUGGUUCAGAAGGAGCGACUGCAGGUGCUCUUCGCGACGGCCUCGGGUGUACUGCUUGGGUGGAUUCGCGAAAAAGAAGAUCGCUGCUUCCUCCGCCGAUUCAAGCCGAAGUUCUCGCUCUGGUCGUAGAGGCUUCGAUGUGCUUCAGACCUGGAAGUAGAGAGAACUUAUACGCGGGGGUCGGACAACGCGGUUCCGUGUUGACUCUCUCUGGUGGAAGAUGGUCACGUGCCAUGGUUAGGUGGAGGCACGUGUCUUGGACGCCCAAGCCAAAGUUGGCUAAAUUGCAAAAGAGUGUCGGUGGCCCACCGUGGAACAACGGAGAAUCAAAUAGCUGCUGAUUGGCAGGCGAAGGGCGAGGGCUCGCUGCCCUGACGCACGGCAAGCAGGAGCCGAGAGCCCUCGUGAUCAGGCUGCCAGUUAUCACUAGCCAUACCAUAUAAGACGUUCAUUAUUCAAAUCAAUAAUUUUCAAUCAAAAUUAUUCAAAUAGACUAUAUUAGAAAAUUAUUAAUAAGUUGAAAAUUAAACAAGUUGAAUUAAAAAAAUUAUGAUUGAAUUGGUACGAAUAUAAUAAAUUUAGAACUUUUUUGAUAAUUUUUCCUCAUUAAAUCUUAUGGAAACCACACUAAAUGAUAAGUUUCUCUAAUCCAAUCCACAAAUGUCUUCCUAGAAAUUUCUUGUCAAUUAAAUUAUUUUAGAAUGAAAGGUCACCUUCCUCCCAUGAAGUUCACGACGGGUUCUAGAAUUUUCCUCCCAUGUCUCUUUUUGAUUUUAACCUUUUUGGCCAAGACCCCAAAAUAAUUCCUUCUUCGAAAUUGCCAAGACCUCUUUUGAUUCUUACCUUUUUGACCAAGAGCUCAAAACAAUUCCUUCCUCGAAAUUGCCAAGACAACUAACCUUUUUGACUAAGAGCUCAAAACAAUUCCUUCCUCGAAAUUGCCAAGAUGACCCCUUUGUAGACUUUCCUUGUUAGUUUUUUUUGUUAUUUGAUCCAUUGGCCAAGCAAAUCAUAGUGAAAAUUAAAUUUUUGAAGAUGAGCAGUACUUUUGCUUUAUCCUCACCUUUUGACAAUGGCUCCGCUUGGCCACUCAAUUCAAAUUGAAGAUGGGCGAUACUUUUUGCUUUAUCCUCGCCUUUUGCUUUUCCUGCCCCAUUAAUUGAAAGAGUACAUACUUUUAUGUUGAAGUCAAGGUGUUCACAAUCAAAAUUAGUUUUCACACGAUGCUAUUUCAAAAGAGCCCCACAAUCAUCUACUUUAAUUGGCAACUUCCGCAAGGUGUUCACAUUGGAAAUUACUUCCCCUCUUACCUCAAAAGAUGAGCCAAAUGUGCUUGGGAUACACACAAUCCCACCGUGGAUUUAAUCGUCCCUGUUGAAAAAAUUUACUACUUUAAUCGAUUAACUCUCAACUUUUGUUAGUUCUCUAUGUAAUGGGAUCGCAUGACUGCAUAAAUCAAAGUGAAGAUGGACAACAUUUUGCUUUCCCUUCCCAUUGAAAUGAAAGCCUCUCACUGCUGGAGGCAUUGAAAUGGUAAAAAAUUUACAUUUUAACUCAUAUUUAGUGACUCGAAUUAAAAAUAGAGGCAUCUUGUUGUAAUGACACUUGACUAGAUCUAGCGUCGCAUUUGAGUCAUUCUGACAUGCAUCGAGCUAUACGCGACAUCGGAUCUUGAUUAGAUCUAAUGUUGAGCCCAACACUGCAGUGGGCCAUCAUCGAGGAUUCAUAUCUCAAGAACAAAUAUGUUGUUGCAUCAAUCAAGCGCAACGCCAAAUUGAGUCAAUAGGAUAUUUCUCCAUACAUAACAUGCUCAUGUCAAUAUUUGCAUUUUGCAAAAGAAAUCUUUAUCAAGAAAGACUUUUUCGGAGAUUCUAUAUCAAUUUUUCUAUGAACCGAGUUAAUUAUCUUUUAAAAAAUUCUCUGGUGAGGGAAAGCAAGUCUAAGUGUUCCGCCAUCUUGCUUGCUUAGUUGCAAAGAAAGUGAUAAGGCAAAAGUCGACCGCGGGGGGGGGGGGGGGGACAAAGGGAAGUUAAAGUCUUCCACAAUCUUGCUUACUUAGCUGCAAAGAAAGGGAUAAGAUAAAAGUCGGCAAAACCUAAGGGGAAGAUUCUAGUGAUUACAAGCAAGUCAAGUCUUCUACCAUCUUGCUUGCUUGGUUGCAUCAGGAGAGGAGAGGCCAUUAUUUAUCUUGAAAAUAUUGUAUAAACUUAAUAAAUAAAUGAUGCGGCAGAAAAUUAUAAGAUAAUAAUUGUACCAAAAUUUGCAUUUUACGAUUGGGUUUCUUAUGGGGUUUGCACUGUUUCUCUUAAGUGUUUCUCUUAAGUAUUUUAAUAAAAUCUAGAUGUUCAACAAUGCUUCGUAAAUAUGUUAUAUAUCAAACUCUUCAAUUUGCAUAUUGUUCUGAUAGCAUACACGGUAAUGUUAUUCUUCUAUAAUUAUACUAUUUUCCUUUAAAAUGACAAGAGUAUGCAAUGGGUGUGAUCCUGAUGUUAAUUUAUCAUCAAGUGUUUGAGGAAAGUUGAAAUUUACAUUUGAAAGCUAUAUGUUACUUGAAAAUAUAAAUCAACAUAGCCAAAAGUAGUUACUUCAUUAAGUUGGUCAAAUUAUCAUCUUUAUUUAAAUUCAUAAAAUUAAUUUUCUUCUCUCUUGCUUGCUUUGCUUAUGCUGAUCGUGAAUUUUUUUUUUUUUAUGAGAUUUACAUUACAUCCAACAUUUUUUUAGUCCAAAUACAAUUCAGCAAAUAUAUCAGAUUUACAGAGUAAUUGCUCCAUAUCAUGAGAAUGCUAUUAAAAGGAGUAACAUGUAAAACUAGUGAGAUUUGUGCCUUUUGCUAGGAACAUACUUGUCGUUUUUUUGGCUUAAUAGAUAAUGGACAGUUAUGAUGAUAUGAAAAAUCUGAUUUUUGCUGGCUCUUAUUAGUCAUAAACCCUGGGAAUGAAAGGUAUUUAGGCACUCUCCAUGGCUUCAUUCGUUUCGCAUAAAAUGUUGUGGUUCUAGAAAAUAUUUUCCAGAAAGCCAUUUUUUAAGAAAAUAACAAUAUUUCCGAGUGUUCGCUUGAAACAUAAGAAUGAAUUGAAAAAUAUUUUUCGCCAUUCAGUGUGGAAAAUUCAAUUUGAUUUCUUUUUGUGCACUCAUUUUAAUAAUUUUUUUAUUUUUUUAAAAAAUCUAAAUUUUGAUUAUUUUAUUUUUAAAAUUUCUUUCUGCUUUUUUCCUUUUACUUUUACUUUUCUAUUUUUACCUUUUAUAUUUUUUAUAUUUUUUUCCUUCUUCUUUGGUCAAUCACCAACCACGGGAUGUGCCCGAAAAGAAGGAAAAAAAAGGGAAAAAAUGAAAAAUGAAAAAUGAUUAAAAAAUUUCAAAUUUUUUAAAAAAGAAGAAAAGAAAGAAGAAGAGGUUUGCAAGGGUGUGAGAUAAGAUAGAGUAAGUGAGGAAAAUGUUUUCCCCUAUUUUAGAAAAAACAUUGCUAUUAAUGCAAAAUAUUUUUCUCAACUAGUUCAUUUUCUAUUAAAUGAACCUUGAAAUAUCCGAAAAAAUUUUCUUGGAAAUUAUUUUCCGCGAAACGAAUGAAGCCCAAGUGUCUUCCAGAGCAAUAGUAGGAUAAAUGGAACACCAUUGGAUCUUUGACUCUUCCCUCUUUAUUCGAUACUAAUUCAUAUCCUCACCAUGAUUUGGACUAUACAAUGUCAUUGUUGUUCUUGUGUCCAUGUUGGGUACAUUCCUCUGGAGUUGAUUCUUGUAAAAACUAAUUUCACCCUACGGCAAUUAUUUCUAAAUUUCAUGCAAACAAGUUGGAUCUAUUUGACUUCCAAAAGUUGGCUAGUAAUGAACAUAGACUUCAAAGGUGCCGUAUAUGUCAGUGGAAUGAGUAAGUCACAAGUUCCACCGUUUCACGUUCUCUAGGUUAUUUUCACCAACUCUAUUAAUGUGCUUGGUGUAGUCUAUUCCCAAUUACAUCUCCAAUUCACUAGUAGACAAUGAAGAUGAAUACCUAGCAGGCCGUGCGGUGUUCUUCGAAGCAAAGACCAUAGAGGUUUGUGGGCACUACUUAAUGAGGCUGCAUUCUUUCUCUGUGGAUGGAUUGUAUUAUAUCGACUGACAUAUGCCACAUGCAUAUUUGAGAGUCAACUCAUCGUUAUCGCCAAUAUGUGCUCCAGUUGGAGCUCCCGACUCAGUCCCAAAGAUUUGUAAUAUGGAACAAGAAGCAUUGUGAGCCCCUCCAACUUGAACCUUGAAGCCCAAGGCAAUGGCUAUCAAAAAAAAGAGCGAGACAAGGAAUUUUGCCUUUAUGGCCAAUGCUAUUUCAUUGAAAAAGGUAUCACCCUUCUUGUUCACGAAUUCAAUUGACAUUAGGUGUUAAAAUGGAAUGACUCAAUUGCUUGACCGUUAAUCUAAAUCUUCGGGUCUCAGUCUCAAUAAAUUCUUCUUUUUUCAUGUAAUUUGCAAGCUCAUUCUCUCAUUCCAAGGUACAAGACAUGUAUCAAUGGAACAAAUCCACCAUGGUGUAAAACAAGAGCUUGAAUUAUCAUAUCAGAAAAGCAGAAUGUGAUUGUUUCAAGCAUGUUUUUGCUAUUAGUCAAAUUUCCCCUAAAAAAAAUACUAAAUCUGGACAGAAUAAGAAAGCUUCUGGGCGAAGUAAGCAUUAUACUUGUAAAUUAGCACAAGAAUGAAAGCAGCGAAAUGGAAGAUGAAAUCCCAAAACUACCCAUAUGGAAUCUGCAAAUCUAUAUAAAGCUACAACACACCAUUUUGAUUUGAACAAAUUCUCCAUAAUCUUUGCAACUCAAAGCCACCUAAGGAUUGGCAAGGAUCAAUCUCAUGAUCAACAACGACCAAAUUUGAAAGGAAAACAGACCGGAUCUUAUCAAAUUGAUCAUGAUUUUUCUUUGGUAUUGGUCAUUUUCCUCAAUAAUAGUAAUCUCCCAGUGAAAUAUCAUCUCGUAACUUUUUGAACAUGACGUAAUUUCCUUUCUGUAGUCGUAAGCUCUGUAGGUCUUAUAGUUUGUAAUAUUCCAUUAAAAAUUGUAAUCUACCUAAAUUUAUAGUAAAUUUCUUUUCUUAUUAUUAGUAAAUUGUCUAAUGGAUCUUAACUUUCAUUCGGCGUACAUAAUCAUCCUCACUAAUAGUAAUUUAUUUGUAAAAUAUCCUUUUGUAAUUUUUCUUAUGGAGGAUGUAAUUUUUGUUUGGACGUCAUAAAUCCUUGGAGUUUGUGCUUUGUAAAAUUUCAUAAAAUAGUAAUUUAUUUGGUUAAUGGUAAAUUUCUUUUUUUUCAUGUUUAGUGAAAUAUCUAAGUUGAUAGUAACUUUCUCUACACUUUGUAAUGUUUUGAGACUUAGGGCGCGUUUGGCAAUGAUUCUGUUCCCGAUAGCUGAUUCUGACUAGAAAUGAUUAUUUUUUAUUCUGUUCCCAGGAACUGAUUCUGAGUAAAAAAGCGCAUUUGGUAACUGUUUAAAAUUUUUAAUUCUGGAAUAGAAUUGCGUUUGGUACCGUAUUAAUUGAUUCUAUUUCAAAUUAAUUUCUUUUGAUUUUUAAAUAAAUUUUAAAUAAUUUCUUUACUUUUUUCUUUUCUUUUUUCCUCUUUUUUCUUUUUUUUUUCUUUUUUUUCCCUUUUUUUUCUAUUCUUCUUCUUCUUCAUUUGGCCGGCGACGCUCACCGGAGCGUCGCCGACCCUCGGCGAGGUCGGCCUUCAUCGGCCGAGCCUCACCGGCAGCUGAGCGAGGCUCGCCCAGCCCCGCCGAGGCUGGGCCUCGCCAGAUCUGGCGAGGCCGAGCCUCGCCGGUGGCCAGGCUAGCCUCGCCCAACCUCGGCGAGGCCAGCUUGGCCACCGGCAGGGCUGGGCGAGCCUCGCCAGUGGCCAGGCGAGCCUCACCGGCAGCUGGGCGAGGCUCACCCAGCCAUUGGCGAGGCUCGCCCUGGCCUGAUGCGGGGAGGCCGGGACUCGCCUUGGUGUGGGCCAGGUUUGCCUGAGUCAUUAUGAGGACCAGCAAAUCAUAUCAGGCAAGAAGCAUCCUUGUCAUUGAGUGACAACAAGCGACUAAUGCCGUCACUUUCAUUUACUGUAUGAGCUUGUUACAUCUCACUUGGAAAUAUCGGAAAACANNNNNNNNNNNNNNNNNNNNNNNNNNNNNNNNNNNNNNNNNNNNNNNNNNNNNNNNNNNNNNNNNNNNNNNNNNNNNNNNNNNNNNNNNNNNNNNNNNNNNNNNNNNNNNNNNNNNNNNNNNNNNNNNNNNNNNNNNNNNNNNNNNNNNNNNNNNNNNNNNNNNNNNNNNNNNNNNNNNNNNNNNNNNNNNNNNNNNNNNNNNNNNNNNNNNNNNNNNNNNNNNNNNNNNNNNNNNNNNNNNNNNNNNNNNNNNNNNNNNNNNNNNNNNNNNNNNNNNNNNNNNNNNNNNNNNNNNNNNNNNNNNNNNNNNNNNNNNNNNNNNNNNNNNNNNNNNNNNNNNNNNNNNNNNNNNNNNNNNNNNNNNNNNNNNNNNNNNNNNNNNNNNNNNNNNNNNNNNNNNNNNNNNNNNNNNNNNNNNNNNNNNNNNNNNNNNNNNNNNNNNNNNNNNNNNNNNNNNNNNNNNNNNNNNNNNNNNNNNNNNNNNNNNNNNNNNNNNNNNNNNNNNNNNNNNNNNNNNNNNNNNNNNNNNNNNNNNNNNNNNNNNNNNNNNNNNNNNNNNNNNNNNNNNNNNNNNNNNNNNNNNNNNNNNNNNNNNNNNNNNNNNNNNNNNNNNNNNNNNNNNNNNNNNNNNNNNNNNNNNNNNNNNNNNNNNNNNNNNNNNNNNNNNNNNNNNNNNNNNNNNNNNNNNNNNNNNNNNNNNNNNNNNNNNNNNNNNNNNNNNNNNNNNNNNNNNNNNNNNNNNNNNNNNNNNNNNNNNNNNNNNNNNNNNNNNNNNNNNNNNNNNNNNNNNNNNNNNNNNNNNNNNNNNNNNNNNNNNNNNNNNNNNNNNNNNNNNNNNNNNNNNNNNNNNNNNNNNNNNNNNNNNNNNNNNNNNNNNNNNNNNNNNNNNNNNNNNNNNNNNNNNNNNNNNNNNNNNNNNNNNNNNNNNNNNNNNNNNNNNNNNNNNNNNNNNNNNNNNNNNNNNNNNNNNNNNNNNNNNNNNNNNNNNNNNNNNNNNNNNNNNNNNNNNNNNNNNNNNNNNNNNNNNNNNNNNNNNNNNNNNNNNNNNNNNNNNNNNNNNNNNNNNNNNNNNNNNNNNNNNNNNNNNNNNNNNNNNNNNNNNNNNNNNNNNNNNNNNNNNNNNNNNNNNNNNNNNNNNNNNNNNNNNNNNNNNNNNNNNNNNNNNNNNNNNNNNNNNNNNNNNNNNNNNNNNNNNNNNNNNNNNNNNNNNNNNNNNNNNNNNNNNNNNNNNNNNNNNNNNNNNNNNNNNNNNNNNNNNNNNNNNNNNNNNNNNNNNNNNNNNNNNNNNNNNNNNNNNNNNNNNNNNNNNNNNNNNNNNNNNNNNNNNNNNNNNNNNNNNNNNNNNNNNNNNNNNNNNNNNNNNNNNNNNNNNNNNNNNNNNNNNNNNNNNNNNNNNNNNNNNNNNNNNNNNNNNNNNNNNNNNNNNNNNNNNNNNNNNNNNNNNNNNNNNNNNNNNNNNNNNNNNNNNNNNNNNNNNNNNNNNNNNNNNNNNNNNNNNNNNNNNNNNNNNNNNNNNNNNNNNNNNNNNNNNNNNNNNNNNNNNNNNNNNNNNNNNNNNNNNNNNNNNNNNNNNNNNNNNNNNNNNNNNNNNNNNNNNNNNNNNNNNNNNNNNNNNNNNNNNNNNNNNNNNNNNNNNNNNNNNNNNNNNNNNNNNNNNNNNNNNNNNNNNNNNNNNNNNNNNNNNNNNNNNNNNNNNNNNNNNNNNNNNNNNNNNNNNNNNNNNNNNNNNNNNNNNNNNNNNNNNNNNNNNNNNNNNNNNNNNNNNNNNNNNNNNNNNNNNNNNNNNNNNNNNNNNNNNNNNNNNNNNNNNNNNNNNNNNNNNNNNNNNNNNNNNNNNNNNNNNNNNNNNNNNNNNNNNNNNNNNNNNNNNNNNNNNNNNNNNNNNNNNNNNNNNNNNNNNNNNNNNNNNNNNNNNNNNNNNNNNNNNNNNNNNNNNNNNNNNNNNNNNNNNNNNNNNNNNNNNNNNNNNNNNNNNNNNNNNNNNNNNNNNNNNNNNNNNNNNNNNNNNNNNNNNNNNNNNNNNNNNNNNNNNNNNNNNNNNNNNNNNNNNNNNNNNNNNNNNNNNNNNNNNNNNNNNNNNNNNNNNNNNNNNNNNNNNNNNNNNNNNNNNNNNNNNNNNNNNNNNNNNNNNNNNNNNNNNNNNNNNNNNNNNNNNNNNNNNNNNNNNNNNNNNNNNNNNNNNNNNNNNNNNNNNNNNNNNNNNNNNNNNNNNNNNNNNNNNNNNNNNNNNNNNNNNNNNNNNNNNNNNNNNNNNNNNNNNNNNNNNNNNNNNNNNNNNNNNNNNNNNNNNNNNNNNNNNNNNNNNNNNNNNNNNNNNNNNNNNNNNNNNNNNNNNNNNNNNNNNNNNNNNNNNNNNNNNNNNNNNNNNNNNNNNNNNNNNNNNNNNNNNNNNNNNNNNNNNNNNNNNNNNNNNNNNNNNNNNNNNNNNNNNNNNNNNNNNNNNNNNNNNNNNNNNNNNNNNNNNNNNNNNNNNNNNNNNNNNNNNNNNNNNNNNNNNNNNNNNNNNNNNNNNNNNNNNNNNNNNNNNNNNNNNNNNNNNNNNNNNNNNNNNNNNNNNNNNNNNNNNNNNNNNNNNNNNNNNNNNNNNNNNNNNNNNNNNNNNNNNNNNNNNNNNNNNNNNNNNNNNNNNNNNNNNNNNNNNNNNNNNNNNNNNNNNNNNNNNNNNNNNNNNNNNNNNNNNNNNNNNNNNNNNNNNNNNNNNNNNNNNNNNNNNNNNNNNNNNNNNNNNNNNNNNNNNNNNNNNNNNNNNNNNNNNNNNNNNNNNNNNNNNNNNNNNNNNNNNNNNNNNNNNNNNNNNNNNNNNNNNNNNNNNNNNNNNNNNNNNNNNNNNNNNNNNNNNNNNNNNNNNNNNNNNNNNNNNNNNNNNNNNNNNNNNNNNNNNNNNNNNNNNNNNCACGUUGAAUGUGGACCGGUCCCGUAAAGGGGGGCCUCCACUUAUGGAAUUUCCAUCGUGAUUAGGACGUUUGAGCACAACAAGAUAGUGUUUCUUUUCGCCAAACACUAAAAUAGCGUAGAAACCUAUUUUCCCAAAUUAUUGAAGUUCGUUCUACUAAAAUAUAUAUAGAGGUAAAAAGGUACAAAAUGUAAAUUAAGAUAAGUAUUACUUUAUUAAUUUUUCCUUUUGCUGAUACACAGCAACAGAUAAAAAGAAAAUAUGAGAUGACUUCUCAUGGUCUUAUGGAUGCAAAGAGGCCUUUCACCCACGUUACCUUCUACCGAAUUCAAGAAUGACUUAAGCCCAGGAAAGAGGCUCUUUUGGAGAGAAGGAGAAGGCACGGCGGCGGGGGCGAAGAUGGAUAUUCAACAAACUUUGGUCGCGAAAACGGAAUUGGCUCCAAUCUCUCCCAUUCGCCAGCAGUCCCGCCAUAGCUGGCAAGGUUUUUCGAACAAGAGCAACUCAGGGGCACGCACGCACUCUUGAGAAGGUUGAAAUUCCAUUCCUGACUCGUGCAUGAUCGAUCGCUUGAAUCACUCCGCAGGUGAGAUUCCAUGGAGGAUCGGGGCUUGGAGGAGGUGGAGAAACCUCGGUUGUGCUCUCGAGUUCGGCUUCGACGAGCAAUCCGCCAGCAAGUGCUUGGACCGUCUCCUUUCCCUCUAUGGUACCUCGAAUCGUCAUUACCUCGUCGCCCAUUUUUUAUGCUGAUUAGCGUUUGCAGAGGUUGCGUUGGUCCUUCUCGUAGUCUGCUUUAGGUUUGAAUAGAUCGAAGCUGGUUCAGCGAAGUAGUCUUGCUGACGAGCGAAACGUCUAGUGCUGUUCCAGCUUGAUGUGUUUAGGUUGCUUUGGAUGGUGGCUUUUCUUGGUUAUUAGCGGAAUUGCAUGGUAUCUGGUCAUUAGGGAAUGACGUAAUUGGUUGUGUUGCGGGGAUGAUUUGUGAAUUGAUCGAUUGUGCAUUCCUAAAUAAGGAGAUUUAUUGCAGUUACGUCGUCAUUUUGACGAUGGCCAUGCAAUAGUCUACCUUUUGGAUUUGAAUGGACUAGAGGAACUGGUUAAUCCCGUCCUUAGUUCUCUGUGGGUUUUGCAGAGUAGUCUUCUUGACUAGCGAAAUGUCUAAUUUGUUUCUGAACUAACCGCAAAUUACAUAUUGUGUAGAUUGUAUUUAUUCGAUCACUUUUUUUUUUAUCAUGGAACUUGCAAAAUCAUCUCUCUUUUUUUUUGGUUUUCUUAGGGUGACGAAGGUCGAGAGUUUAUCACUGUGGACCACUGUGGCAAUGAUUUUCUAGCAGAACUUGCUGAAACUAUGCGAGACAUUGAGGAUUGGAAUGAUUUGCAAGUUGCGGAAUCAGAAACUUGUGGAGUUUUGACUGAUAUGUUUGGCCAAGAUACCCCUAAUGACGGUGAAUGCAAUGUUGUGACAAUGUUAAUAUUAUAUAGGAUUCUCCACAACCUAAAAAAAAAAUCAAACAUUUCUUGAGGUGGAUUCCUCUGCUGAAAGUGAAGACGAAGAUGAUAUAUUAUAUUUGGCAGUACCCUGAGCAAUUCGUCCACUCAACUUCUGGCCAGACGAUCUCUAGAAUCCAUCGUAUGCUUCUGAAAACUGUGAAGUUGUCUCACUCCUUUCUGCCCCCAACAGUUUGAAGGGAUUAAGAAAAAGAAAGAAAAGCAUGGUGGCUUGGCAUGUUUUUUCCCAUGCUCAAAACUAAUUUGGUUGAUAGUUGUUAAGUUUGUGGCUUAAGUUUUUGAUUCAUGGACCUGGAUUUGAUUAGUCCUUCUCAGAGAACUCUUGGGAAACGCUUUCCACUCGUCUCAUUCGUUUUUGACUGACUCUUGCAAUUGGGAUUUUGGUUAGUGAGAAAUUGAUUUUUUUCUUAUUGUAAUUCUCUCUGGGUCACUGUUAAACUACUCCGGUUGAUGUAGAUGAAACUGCCCGUCCCCUUAAAUUAGUGUGUCACUGUUCUUUGCUCUUAAAAUUAUGUGUUUCCUUGAUCAUUUCCAGUUCGCUUGCAAUUCUGCUCAGCAAGAAACCUUACGCAGUGUACCUGUAUAAAAGCAUUUAGCAAAUUGCUUAUGAGGGCUCUCAUCCAAUCAAAUGCAUACUAGACACUCCUAACUUGCCAGUUACUUCCACAGUCUGUAAGAUCUAGAAUGACUUAUAUAAGUACAGUUUGGUCAGUAAAAAUGGUUCAUUCUUGUUUUGGAUAUAAAACAAUAGCUAUAUUUCUCAAAUAAUUUGAGAGUGUGGUACAUCAGUGUUGAACUUAGCAUCCAGCGUCUUUGAUAGGUGUGUUUUGCAAAAUGGAUGCUCGGGAUUUCUUGGUGCACAAUUUUCAUUUUCCAUCACCACAUGUCAAAACUAUUUAUGGUGCUGAAGAGGUUUAUUUGUGUUGAAGCACUGUAAGAGCACUGUCACUCGUGGUUUGAUAUCAUCAGUUUCAAAUAAACGACAUCGCUCUCGGAUUUCGACAUGCAAACGAGGAAGUCUGAGUUAUGAAGAAUUGCAACCCUUGGAUGACAUAGAAUUGGCAAAUUUUGUAAUAUUCGGAAACAAGGCAUUUCGACCAAUGUAGCAUCAGGCUUGCAAAGCUUCUGUAGCCAAGGAGGAUUGCUCCAUUCUCAUGCCCACUGGAGGUGGUAAAAUUUUAUGUUACCAGGUCAGCGAAAGUUAACAUUAUUUCAUUUGCAUAUUGAUUGAAUGUAGAAGUAUGCAUGGAGACAAUGUUUAGAGCACAAGCCCUGUGCACUUUGGUGAAUGGUUCCACCAAUUAUAUACUAGACGGGUAGACCUAUUUAUCGAAAUUUAAGCUAUAAAAUGAUCUUGCAAUCUGCUUUGUUAGAACUGUUGAGAAGUUUGUGCUGAAAUACAGGAUAUUCUUGUUCUGCCUUUGCCCAUCUCUGUCCAUUCCGUAAUUUCUAGAACUUGAGGUUUGUGCUAUGCUUCUAGGACCUUCUAAUUACUUACUGGAAAAUUUAUCUUGUUUUUGCAUGUAAGUGUUGUCAUCAGUCAUAUUUCAGGUCCAAUUCAAAAGGGUUAUUAAGUCAAAGAGGAAUAAGUAUUCAAAAUACUUGCACCAAAUACGGACCGUAUAUGUCUAUAAAUCCUAUGUAGGUAUGUGCUAUGUCAUCAUCUCAACUAAAGGUGAUCAUUUCCAUAAUUGGUUUGAAAUGGAUGUCCUUUCAUAUAAGAUGGAUCUUGGAAGCAUGCAAAAUAUCGGGUCCCCUGACACACAAAGGAAGAUAUUAACCUGAAUUUGUUAAGUUGAAUUAUCCUGAAAUGUUUUCUGUUCAGUCUUGAAUUAGUUCGUAUAUGUUUCUAGCUGAAGUAAUUAUAAGACAAAUAGUGAUGACUAGUGCUUUCUGAUCAGCUGAAGGUGAACAAAAGAGUUAUUCCCCCAUCCCUUCAUUUGCUCUUCUGGUGUUUUUACCCUUCAUUUCAGCUGUCAGCAACUCUUAAACCAGGUGUCACAGUUGUUAUAUCUCCCUUGCUAUCUCUCAUCCAGGAUCAAAUAAUUACCCGAACCCUCAAGUACAGAAUACCAUCAACUUUCUUGAACUCUCAGCAAACCACUGCCCAGGCAGCAGCUGUCCUCCAAGAACUAAGGCAAGGUUUAGCUCUCUCUCUCUCUCUCUCUCUCUCUCUCUCUCUCUGUGUGUUCCUACUGAAGUAUAUCCUACCAUACAAUCUUUAUCCCGCCAUAAAAUUUUUUGCUCCAUAUGUUGCAAAGGAUGUACAUUUUUAUGUAGUUAUUGAAAAGAUGCAUGCCUAAGAUGUUUCCCUUAAAAAAAAUGUAGCAUCUUGGCCUUCCGAGAGAAGUAUAUCAUACUAUCCAAUCUUUGUCCUGCCAUAAAAUGUUGGGCUAUGCUCCAUAUGUUGCAACGGGAUUUCCAUCGGACUUCUAAAACUUUUUUUUCUUUUUGGCUGAGUGUUGGGAUUGUCAAGUCAUUAAUCUUCACUGCUUUACCUGCCUUUUCAGGAAAGAUAAACCAUCGCGCAAGCUGUUGUAUGUGACUCCUGAAAUGAUUGUGGGAAACUCAUCAUUUCUCGAGAUAUUGAAAGGCUUGCAUAGAAAGGGACUAUUUCNNNNNNNNNNNNNNNNNNNNNNNNNNNNNNNNNNNNNNNNNNNNNNNNNNNNNNNNNNNNNNNNNNNNNNNNNNNNNNNNNNNNNNNNNNNNNNNNNNNNACAUUGUAACUUUUUCUGAAAGUUUCUUUUGGACUUUUUGAUAUGCGGCCAUCACGCAUUGCAGGCACAACUAAUUGGUUUUGUUGUUGAUGAGGCACAUGGUGUGACGUAUGCUCUUUGGCAUCCUUGUAUCUGAAGCAAAGAUCAUGCUAGAGUUACAUUAAAAGGAAUAAGUAUUUAUGAUGUUCGCACUGCAAAAGUACUGUCCUUGUUCGAGAUAGAGAAAAGCAAGUUAACUUUUAUAUAUGCUGACUCAAACUCUUUUUUUUGAACAUUUUUACUUCUGUGUUUCUGGCCUAAUUACAUUGUCAAUGUCACGCUGAACCUUCUUAAACCCCUAAAACCCAGACCUUCUGUGGAGUUCUAGUAUAACAGAAUGCAAUAUUGAAAUAACUUAUUAUGGAAAUGGUCUAGUUGCUACUUUUGUGAAAAAUCAGUGGCACAUCAUUUAUCAUAGUAAGCACAAUGCAGACAACUAAAUUUAGCUCCAUGGAAAUUACUUUCGGAAGUAAUUGAAAGUGUCCAUGUUUGGCACAAUAGUCAGGUCUUUUACGCUGGUUCUUGUCUCCCUACUUAUUCUUUUAACUUUUAUACCAUGUAUUAACAACUUGAGAUAUAAGGCAAAAGUUCACGCAUGUGAUCAUUGAUUGUGUUUCUUAUAAGGUCUUUAUUGGACUAGCUCUGCCAGUGCAAUUUUGUGAAAGGAACGUAUUGAUGUUUUGAGCUUUUCUCAAAUAUGUGAAUGCUUGUAAACGAGUAAAGUUUAUUGAUCAUUACUUUCUUGAUUGUCAUUAUUGCAGUCAAUGGGGACAUGAUUUUCGUCCAGAUUAUAGGGGACUAGGAUGUCUCAAGCAAAACUUUCCAUAAGUCCCAGUGAUUGCCUUAACUGCAACUGCCACUCAGCCAGUUCGUGAGAUACAAAACUUGCACAUUAUCCUCCAAAUAAUGUUGAAGAAAUCAUUUGGGUCUGAUUGAAAUGUACAUCCAUUGCAGGAUAUCCUAAAAGCUCUCAGGAUCCCCCAUGAUCUUGUUCUCUAGACAAGCUUUGACAGACCAAACCUAAAAUAUGAGGUGAUAUUUAAGACCAUGGAACCACUGAAGCAACUUGAAGAGCUGCUAAAGAAACAUUUUGCUAAUUUGUGUGGCAUAGUGGAUCGCCUCUCAAAGGGUGAAUGUGUUGAUAUUGCAAAAUACUUGAAUGAUAAGUGCGGUAUAAAGACGGUGUACCAUCAUGCUGGAUUAGCAGCCCAUCAAAGAGUAGCUGUUCGAAAGAAAUGGCAUACUGGAGAGGUCCUGGUUGUAUGUGCAACCAUUGCUUUUGGAAUGGGAAUAGACAAACCUGAUGUUGUAAGUUGAAAUGGACUCUAAGCCUUUGCCUAUUUUUAGUUUUAGAGUCAAGCUGACAUGCUGGCAAAUACUCAACUAAUUUACAUUUUUUUUUUUUUUAAGUUUUAGUUUCACUGAUUGGUUUAUUAGUGUGCUUGAAAGUAAACUUUGCUGGUUCCAUGGUCCAGUGGCCUGGUAAAUUGUCAUUCUUGGUUAUUGAUUGCAACUAGCGAAUUAUGUGUUUUUUAUCAAGUCAGAUUCUUUCUCCCGUGCAUGGCACUUCGUUGUGCUGAAAUUAAGUUAAACUAGGAUAAAGUUAUUUUCUUUACUGUAAAAGUGGCAAAUGAUUCUGAUCUAAUUUGUCCUCCUGAUAUAAUUUUUAUAUCAUAUUUCAACUUUGAUGGGUCAGUAAGUAUGUGUGUGUGUGUAUUAUUUUAUUUUUUUAUGGCAUGUGGUCAGCGUUUUGUCAUCCACAACGCAAUGUCCAAGUCAAUCGAAAGCUAUUACCAAGAAUCAGGGAGGGCAGCAAGAGAUAAUCUACCAGCAGUGUCCAUUGCUCUAUAUGCCAAAAAGGAUUUCAGCCAGGUUGUGUGCAUGUUAAGGUGUGGUCAAGGGUGUAAAACCGAAAUCUUUAAAAGUGCAAUGGCUCAAGCUAGGAAAAUGCAGCAAUAUUGUGAAUUCAAGGAAAUCCAAUUUGUGUUCUCAACUUCAAUCUGAUGAUCUCACCUAAGUGAUGCUUCUUUUAUGCGUUUACACUUUCCACUUUGUUCUAUUGAUUGCUGUUAGUGUUCGUCUGGCAUUACCCCGUCUGGAUGCUGGAUCAUUAGAUGGGUCUGUUGGCAACAUACUCACAUAAUAAUGGACCCUUUGGGCUAAACUCAUAUUCCGCACACCUAAAUGGAGCAAAGUCUAUUGAUAAAUGGGUGUUUCCUCUCUAAUUUGUGAAGUUUUAGGAUGAGUGUCAGAGGCAAACCUUAUUUGUGUGCUUGGCGAGUCUUUGAAUCAGAAAGACUGUAAAUAUGGUUCUAAUCCUUGUGACAAUUGUCUCAAAGCCUCUUCAUAAAGGUAAACCUUUUAGGUGUCAACUCUCUUGAGGGCGAAAGGAGGUACCAACAUGUGCAUGAUCUUGAGCUGCAUAGUUCUUCUGGUUCCAUCAUCCGCAAUUAUUGAAAGACCACAUGGUAUGGAGGGGCAAAGGUCCUUAACUAUGGACACGGAAUUCUUCAGUUGUGAUGAUCUUGUCAUCUCAUGUUUGUCUUUUCCUUUCAUCUGCUGACAUGUUCCUUGUCUAGAACUAAUUAUUUUCGUGAGGAGAACAAAAUGUGGGUCGACAUAUAAACCAGAGAGGCAUAUGGGAACACACCCUCCAGUCUUGACUGCAGAAGAAAAAGUUUCUUGUUUCAGUUCAACAAAAAUUAACAAUGAAAUAAAAUUAUACAAGCGCAUGUUGCAAUUCUUCUUUCCCGUUUUCAAUUAGUGAUGAAUGCAUAUCAUGACUGCAUCUAAAGUUAGUUUACUUGCAGAUUCAAUUUUUCAAGUAGUAUAUCUUAAGAUACAAUCGAUUGGAUGAAAACCUUUAUUAGGGUACGAUCAUCAGUUAAUCCAACUAUUGAACAUUGCCGGCUUUCUGGCCAGCAAGCAUUGCAUCGAUGGACUGGAUUAUUCAAGUCAUUAGUGGACUGGGAUCUUAGAUCCCCAUUAUGCAAUAGUUUUUGAGAGAGCACAUGGCAAUGCAUCUAUAAUUCGAUACCAAGAGAUUUAACAUGGUUUUAUUAUUCCUGGGUCAGGGACAGCGUUAGAUUCAUUUUGACUUGGACGUGUCAACUGCCCAAUAAUGUUCUCACAGGGCACUUAUCAGUUGUUUCUUUGUUGUAUUUGCUUAACAACUCACGGUGAUGAUUGCGUGUGUGUGUGUGUGUGUGAAUUGCAGCCAACUUUUUGCACUCAGAAGAGUAGUUGGAAUCCGCACGGUUUUGAUGACGACACAGCAUCGCACAAGGCGAGGGAAAUUGACAGUAUUGGCCCAGAAGAAGAUAAUUCAUUUAUUGCCUUCGGAAGUGAGGACAAAAUUGUUCCUCUGAAUGUUAGUGCGUUCAUGAGUCAUUUGAAAAGGAUUGUUUUGGAAAUAUAUUGGACUGGGGGGAUUCUCUUCGGCCUAGGAAAGGAAGAAGAAAAUUUGGGGUAUACCCAUGGUCCUCUGAAGACCACAGAGGAGAGCCCGUACCGUAGUAAAUCUCCAGGUAAGGGCAAAUAAAUUCUGGAAGCUUGUCAGAGGGUAGUAACUGCAGCUCAGAUUGCAUGGGAUUUUAAAGGAAGAACAGCUGUUACAUGGGUCGAAAUAGAUAAAUGAGAAAUAAACAAAUAAUCCUAUAGAUUCCAUAUAUCAAUCGGCAGAAAUCUCCUAUUUUAUAGAAGUGGCAGCUAGUUAAUUAUCGUCGAGCUUGGUUGGCUCUAUGAUAACAUAAGUAUCAAAAUUACAAGUUUGAGUUGUGUCAUAACCGAAAGCGAUUGAUUUGUGCCCUUCAGUCCAACUAAAUAAUGAAUUACCAACAUACUGUUUAGUUGCGGUGAUGGAUUUGCUAUCGUCGAAACUUACAUUAUAGGCAAUACUUGAUGAUGAUGACUUAAAUCAAACAUUCUGUAAUUAAUAGGAAAAUUGUAUGGUUACAAUCAGGGAUAAACGAUGCGAAUUGACUAUCUCUAUCCUUUAAUAUUUAUAAAAGGAUUGGAAGGUGAUUGUCCUUGUUGAGGAAUUUGAGAUGGUCCCCUUAUUGUUUUAAAGAUGACCCUAGUGGCUAUAACACCAGCUAGUUUUUUGGUUACGACUCUAAGCCGUGGACCAUGCCACAUCCUUCUAUGCGAUACAUGCGCAUGAUUGUACAUCAUAAGAGUGAUCGAAUUGGAUAAAGUGAUUUAAGUCCCCCAAAAGAAAGGAAAAAUGCAAGUUAAUGGUGACUUUGAUGCGAUGAGAAACACUAGUUCGAAUUAGACUGCCUGAUGUGGGGUAUUCCUCGUUUGUACAUUUUCCUUGGCUUACACCAUAUCUAUUUAAGUAUUCUUUAUCCCAAAUCUUACAAGGAUUGUACUCAAAUAGUCAUAUUGUUGACUAUAUAUCGUCAUUGCAUGUAUGGAAAUUUCAAAGAACCAUCAAAAUUGGAACCUCUAAAAGAUUUGAUUAUUGACUGUCGAGGAAGAUUUGUACGGUGACUCCAUUUCAAAAUUGGGACUGCAACAAAGUCAUUUGGAAUGUGCAUUCGAAUUUCAAAAAAAAGGGACAUGGUAUUAGCAGAUAACCUAAUGAUCUUAAGUCGAUUUCGAUUAAAUGCUGAGUAUCACGUUGUCUUGUUCUCACAUUUGACUACCAAGACCGAAAUUGGCUUUGUUUUUGGUCAACGGAGGGGGUCUACGUUUCAUGCAUGUUAUGACCACAAAAAAAAAAUGGCAGUAUUUGACCCUCAACCCAAGACUAUUCUGUAGCAUCGCGUAAGAGGUAAAAUAGGUAAAGAAAAUGAAAAAAAGGAAACACGUGAAUUAUGCUUGAUGUCUUUGAGUAUUGUAAUUCAUUUUUUUUGGAGACGCACACUAAAGCCAAACGAUUUGUCUUUUCCGUUUCUUUCCCCGCAAGAGAAAAUAUCGUUUAAGAGAAAUUGACGUUAAUAAUCAAUAAACUUUGAUUCGACAUGUGAUAAUAAUUUAUUCAAUGUAAUCCUUAAAUUAUUCUUUAAACUUGUCAUAGACUUAUUUCUUAAUUCAUAUUUGAUGUGAUGAGCUAUUAUAUAAAUUGGCUAUAUUCCAAAAAAUUGGUCAUACAUGGUUUUAGGGUGGUAAAAACUAAAAUAAUAUGUGUAAAUGGAUUCGCUCACCUCUAUGACUCUCUUUUUCAUCUCUCGCCCUCAUUCAAUCUUAUGCUCACUUUACGCUUUCAUCUCAGUUUUAGCAUGAAUUUUCCUAAAUUAGAUUAAAUAUGAAAGUGUUCUAGUCAUGUGGUUAGAUUUGGUAUUAAUUGGCUUGAUUACGAGUUACUAAAUUUGUAUUGCGUUGAAAUGUGUCAAAAUGAGUUGAACUAUUUUCAACUUAAUCCACUCAUUUGAUGAGUUUACUUUUUUUUAUUAAAUAAGGAAGAAAGUCAUCACAUUUCCCUAAUUUAUUGCCAAAUGUGCAAUCUAGUCACUUAAUUUAUUUUUGUCACUCUAUCAAAUCGAAAUGUAUCUUCUAGAAAAAAAAUUCACGACAAGAUAAAUAAGUUAUAUGACUCAAUUUUUUCUAAAGUCGAAAUACCAUUCUGUGUAACUUGUUCUAUAAAACAUUAUUAGUUACAACAUGAUAUGCCAACAAAUUUUUUAGCCCAAAAGAACAUACUCUCUCCUAAAUUGCAACCUACCAAGUAUGCAAAGUAAAAAUAAUAACCGAAAAAUUAAUCCCAUUAGAUUUGGGAAGCAGGAACCUUUCCCCUGACCCUUUCUGACAGGACAACAAAAAGACACCAACCAGCAAAAAGGAAAUAGCAACUUUUUCUCCAAUUUAAACUGGCUUAACUCACAAGACUGACACGUGGCGGUCGGACACGGCACCCUGACUCUCUGAAAAAAAACAAAUAGAGAGAAAUAAAAAAAUAAAAAUAAAAAUCCUUUUUUAAUAGCAAGAUCGCUGUCUCUUCCUCCUCAGAUUUUAAUGCUCAAAAACCAGUCAGUCUCUCUCUCUCUCUCUCUCUCUCUCUUCUUCCUUCUUCCUUUGGACACAAAUUCCAUUUUCAUUUUCAUUUUUUUCCACCAUUUUUAAACUCUCGAACUCCUCGCAUUCUCUCUCCUUUCCUCCUCUUCUUCCUCCUCCUCAUCUUCUUCGUCUCGCCAGAUCUCUCUCUGUAAUUGGGGUCAAGUCCGCCGGGCAAUCCCGGCGUUUGCCCGUUCGCCGGCCAUCUCGCCGGCAAUGCCGGCUCAGAUCUACUGUCGUUAGCUUGAUGCGCGACUCCGUGUGCUCUUUCUAAUCCUCACACCAACAUUCUGCGGACGGUAAGUGUGAAUCUUGGGUUCGCGCGAAAAAUUUGUGAUUUUGUUGGUGUGCGCUACUGUUCUGUUUAUGUGUGAAUCUCCACUUCAGUUUAGAGUCUGGACUUAGCAGGGCGAGGUAGUGAGGUCGUGUUCUACAAGCAAAGGGGGGGUUCAGGAGUUUGGGAAAUGCUGUGUAAAUGAAUCGUGUUUCAUUUGAGUUAUGUGGGAAUGCUUGGUGUUGGUUCGGAUAAUGCACCGAAAGUGGUUGUUGGGUCGAUUCUUGGCAAACGGGGAAUUAGAAUUACCCGAGUUGUGAGUCGUGAAAUGCUUGCGGAUAGGGAUGGAGGGUUAUUGAAAUUUGGAUAAUAUGAACUGGGUCUCCAUUUUUCAUGCGUUCUCGCGUAGUUUUGUCUGGGAAAUAGUUGAAUGCACCUGCCGAAGUUGCAAAUUUACUCUGGAUGUGGUUGUUCUGGGUCUUCCUAUCUGCUCUUUAUGUAUGUACUUUUGUUUCUGUUCUUUCUAGAUACCUGUAAUUGAGAGAUGGAGGUGGAGAAAAGACGGACAAAGGGAGGCUUCCGACAAUUUUUCGACUGGAAUGGCAAGUCCAGGAAGAAGCUGUUCUCAAACAGUCCUGAUAUACCUGGUGCUGGUACGGCCCACAUUAUCUUUUUAUCAAUUUUGUUAGUCACGGCCGCGCAUUGCUAGCAUAUGAAAGUUUUCUGGUGGAGAUGGCCAUAUAGUGCUAUUAACGUGCUUUGUUUCUUGUUAUAGAAGUAGUUAAGCAAGGAACAGAUGAUGCAGAGAUCUUGGCGAAGUCAAGAGCCUCGUUUAGAAGUCAAAGUCAAUGAUAUUCUCGUGCCAGGAAGUUUCACUGUUUCUCAUUUGAGUAAUCAAAUUCCCAACUAAGUAUAUUACCGGAAACCAGGGUUAAAUCAAGUAUAGCUAUUUCCCAUUUUAAACUAUAAUUGUCACUAAACCUUGAAAUGAUACAGCUUUUCUUUUCAAACUCGUAAAAGUGUUUUCAUAAGUGAAAACAAGAUAAAGAUAUGUGCAUUUUCACAUGGCGAUCAGAUAUCAAAGGGAAAUUAUGCAAGCAAAUUACUGGACCUUAAUCUUGAAGAAGUACAGGAUAUUUCUGCAAUUGAAUGAGUGCACUUCCUGGUCAAUUCUACAAAAUAUUUCUCACCAUUUUGUGUGAUAUGCUUCUGAAUCUCCUUCCAUUUAUCUAAGGAAGGACAAAAAAAUUGAAGAACUGGAGGAUAACCAGCAGCAGCAGCUAUAUCAAAUAAUCAGUACCUGCAGGAAUUCCCAUGACACACAAUAUCAAUCCAGUAAAUGGAAGAACUCAAUAAGACUCUUGAGGUACAACACGGUGCUCAGCUAUAUCAAAUAAUCAGUACCUGCAGGAAUUCCCAUGACAGACAAUGUCAAUCCAACAAAUGGAAGAACUCAGUAAGAUUCUUGAGGUACAACACAGUGCUCAGCUAUAUCAAAUAAUCAGUACCUGCAGGAAUUCCCAUGACACACAAUGUCAAUCCAGCAAAUGGAAGAACUCAGUAAGACUCCUGAGGUACAACACGGUGCUCAUUACGGCAUUGGUAAAACCAAUUAAUGGUGACAAGUUUCUUUAGAACAUUUAAAGCCCACUGCACGAGAACAACAAAUUAAUUGAUAAAUACAGUUUAUCUCUCGAGAUGGUAUUCAUAAAAGAAAUUGCACAGGGAACAUUCAAAAAAAUAUAGAGGAAACUCUUCCUCAGUUCAGCCAACUCAAUCAGAGUACUACUACCCACGAUGCUUUCCAUACUUAGUGAAAAAGCAUAAUGAAUCUCAUUUAAAGUGGUUACACCUCAACGAGAUACAACAAAUUCGCAACUCUUAAACUAAAUUCAAAGUAUUAACUCCAGGACUUAAACCUUGUAUUUUGCAGCCAAAAUAUUCUUCGCAAUUACAAAUCUAAAAUCUGCUUAAGUUUUGGUCUGUAGAACUCCCCCCAUUGAAGUUACCAAUUUCUCAAUCUCAGCCUGCAGAUUCCAGGAAAUGGUGAAACAUUUAAAAAAUCAAGGGGUCACAUAGAAGGAUACAUAGAUAAGGAUAAGUGACGCGCCACACUAAAUUGGAGAGACGAGUAACAACAAAGAUUACAAGCUAAAAAAUCAUUCAAGGCCUAACUUAUCUAGGAACAGGCAUAUCUUCUUAUCCAUCUCAAACCCACAUGUAAGGACUUCGACACGAUCCAUCGCAAGACAAACAAGUAUACCCUUUUUGAGGUAGAGGUCUCCGUUGUUCUUUCGCACACAAAACCACACACUGCGGACCUGCAAGUAACCGAAUUAUCCCCCAUAGAAUCGACAUUUUUUUCCCAGGCAGAAGAACUCCUCUCGACUUGCUUGACCAGCACGUUGACCCCAAUGCUUCCGCUUUCGUUUCUCAACUACAAGUCCUGGUUUAGCAUUUAGCAGCCUCGAGUAAAAAAACCAGAAGAUAAAACUAGGACGAGAACAAGAUCUUCACCGACUAGCUUCCACCCUUUCGCCUGAAGAUCCUCGAACUUCCCCUCCGAAACGACGAGCCCAUACCUCUCGAUACGUAAAAAACAACCUCAAACCCGUUUCUCAAAAAUGAACCCAAAAGCCGUAACGCCGCCCAAUCCCAACGUACUCACGUGAUCGGGGAGAAGAAACGGCGUGAAAAUCGCGGGGCCCACCCCUGGAAGCAACAGCUCCCUUCAGCUUGAGCGCGUCCAACGGCUCGGGAGGCACCAAGUUCCUCGGCAUCAGCACGUUCAUCAUUUCCUUUCUUCCUUCUUGGAAGAGGCUGAAGGAGGAGCGACUUGGGGAAAACUGACGGGAGUGAGCUUUUUCCGAAUUCUUCCCCAAAUUGGGAUUGAUUAGGGUAUGAGAAAGCGCGGGGAAGGGGUUUUUUCUUGGGUUCUUUUCGGAUUUUCCUUUUAAUUCCCCUUUUUUGCUCUUAAUUUUGCUCUUAAUUUUGUGGAUAAUUUCUCAAAAGCCCUCUAACUUUUGCACCGUUACAUGACUGCUCUCCAACUUUGAAAAAGUUUACAUGCCCUGCGUGGCCGCCGGCCUAGAAGGGCCACGAAAAGAAAAUAAAAGAAAAUAAUUCAAAAUGAUUCGGCCGAGAGAAGCGACGAGCAAUUGAAGCGAGCGUGACCAAGCCUUCUAGAAUAGGUGAGCUGUCGUGUGAGAGAGAGAGAGGCCUAACAGAAAAAGAUUCGGCUGAGAGGAGCGCGGCUGAUUUGGCAGAGAGAAGGGGGGAUGCUCGACGACGGGGACUGAUGAAAAAAAGGUAUCGUUCGGCCGUGGGGUACGGACAUCCGCGGUCAAACGCUUGUCUCUGGGAACUCCAUUGCUUGGCUUUAUUUAAAACGGAGCCGAAACGAUAGCAGGGUCUCGUUUCCCUGGUCCACGAUCACGCUCGUUUUGAAUUAGCUGUCCCUUUUGUUGUGUUUGAGCGUCACUUGCUAUUCUCUUUUGAGUCUGGACACGAGCUAGAGUUUAGUCCGUGCUCAUCACACGCUCGAUAUGAUGCCUUAGUGUUGUUCUAAAGAUGAGACCGGGGUUUUCUUUUCUUCUGUGAAAGCAUGUCGAGGAUCCAUUUAAAUAUUUUUUCAUCGAAUUGAAAUGUCUUUGAUUUGAUGUGGGAUGAAUGAGGCGCUAAUCGUUUCCUCGNNNNNNNNNNNNNNNNNNNNNNNNNNNNNNNNNNNNNNNNNNNNNNNNNNNNNNNNNNNNNNNNNNNNNNNNNNNNNNNNNNNNNNNNNNNNNNNNNNNNGUCGGAACUCCGACUACAAGCACUAUGACUGUAUUACUUUCAGUUAGACACCUGAAACUCAUUCUACGAAAUGUUCCAAGAAAUAUGUAAGAAAUAGCUGCUGUUUCUGUUCGAAUCUGAAGGUGCUGGUCAUUAACUUGAUUUCCAUGAAUAAUGAGAUCGCUAUGUUGUAUUUUGUUUGAUAUAUGUUGUGUCUCCUUCAUUGAAUGGGAUGAGUGGACGGUGUAGUGUGAUGGAAGAUGUUGGAAAGUGAGCUCGUUUUAUUUCGGUGGUGGUCCAUGCUGGUCGGAACGGAUGACCGGCGGGGUGCCGUCAUGUAAGCUCUGCCUGGGUGUAUGAGUUCGAAAAAAUGAGAGAGAAGAAGUUGCAUAGAAUGAAAGCUUCAGAGGAAGAAGAUGACCAUAAGAAAAGGAUGAAACAGGGGAAAAGACAAAAAGAGAAAAGAAAAAAUAAUAUUGGAAAUAUCUAAAAUUGGUUUCCUUUCGGACGCCGGUCGGAUCCAAGUUGUCGGAUUGGGUUAAUGGUCUGGAUUGGAUUACCGGCUCGUUUUCCAAAAUAUUAUAAUAUCAAAUAUUAAAAAAAAAUUAAAUUUUAAAUUAAAGAAAAAGAAUAUUAAUAAUGAUAUUAAAAAUUAUAAUAAUAUAAAAUGCUAAAAAUCGAAACCUAAUCAAGUAUUGUUUUCUGCACUUGAGCUUAGGCUCAAGUUGACUCAAUCCUCACAUAACUAGGAGUUAGCAGGCCUAGAAAUAAAACUUGGCAGCAAAAUUAUGUAAGCUGAUCAUCUAGUAGUUACUUCAUGCGAAGAAUAAAAAAUGCUAAGCAUACACCACGGCUAUACAAAGAUAAAAAGGCAAAGAAAGAAGCUAUGGCAUACCAUUUUGAGUAUAGCAAAUUCCUACAUAAUCUUCACAGCUCAAAGCCAAGAGUCAGGUAGAAUCGUAAGCAUAGAAUACGACUCUAAUCGAAAUGCAUCCAUUUGUCUCAUACACUAUGGGGAUGGUGAGAAGAGAUAUAUUUUACAUCCCAGAGGGGCUAUAAUUGGAGAUACCAUUGUUUCUGGUACAUAAGUUCCUAUAAAAAUGGGAAAUGCCCUACCUUUGAGUGCGGUUUGAACUAUUGAUUUACGUAAUUAGAAGUCACCAAUUAAGUUUACGACGAAACCUAGAAAUCGAUCACUGAUCCAAUUUGAGUACCUCUACAGGAUAGACCUCUACAUGACAACUAGAUGAGAAGGGAAAAUGGACCAGAUCUACAUGGCAAUAUGACUGCCAAACUAAUAAACACUAUAUUAAAAUGAGGCAUGUAAUUAUCAUCCCUUCCAAUCCCAUUCAACAAAAUAAGGAAUCUCUACAACACAAUUUAAGCACUAAAAAGGCUGAAAAAAAAAUUAUUGUUGGUCCAAGCCAAUAUUUUCACAGUUUUAUAAUAUGCAAGAAUAGUCCAAUUUCUCUAGGAAUAGGAAGCUGUGUAGAGAAGACCCCAGAAUCGGGCAAAAGGUAAUAGUGUGAUGUCAAUAAUCAAUCCAAUCAAUGCUUUUCCUUGUCACAUAAAUGUCCAGAGCGAGAUAUGCGUAUGAAUCAUGAAACUCUAUAACAAAGGGCCAGAUCACCGAAUUGUUCUUCCAACUAAACUAGUCCAACCAAUUUAUGGUGGCUUCCCUCCAAACUUUGGUAACCAAAGCAAGAAAACUAUGACUACCUAGACAGUCUAUAUAUUCAUUCGCAGUCAACCCAUUUCCGACUUCCUUCCAACAUCACCAACAAAUUCAAAAGACCAAGCAUUCGGUAAAUGACUUACAUAUUUGUCAGCACUUAUUAGCUGAAAAGGAAUGUCUUCAGGUACGGAUUGACAGUCUCAUAACGCAAUAGCUUAAUUUCUCGAGUGAAGUAAUUCCAUCAAAGCGAAAGAAGAUUAGAUACCGUUAUCAUUUCGAUCAAUCAAAACAUAUUUUCUCAACAAAAUCGAAUGAUUAUUCCUUAAAUUUGAGGAGGUUUCAGUGUUAUGUUAGGGAGGGAGGGAGAGAGAGAUGAACUAACCUUUGUUGUAGUAACUAGAAGAGAAGAGCGAAGUAGCGCGAGGAGAAGCUCUAAAUACAAGAAAUUGUGAAAAAAGUACUUUUUCUGCAACAUAAAUACAGUCUUAGUUAAUAGUAAAUUCCUUUUAUGUAUAUUUAGUAAAAUAUUAAAAUGAUCAUAACAUUCUUUAUAUUUUGUAAAGAUUUGCAGCCAAUGUGUCAAUAGUUUUCUUUACUUGUGAUGACUUUUCUCAAGCAAAACAAAUUUGACGAAUUAUGCUUUCGCCCUCUUUAUCCAGCUAUCCACAUUGAAUGUAAGACCGAUAUCAUAAAAGAGAGCUUUGACUUGUGAAGUUUCCAUGACAAUCAUAAUGUUUUGUGCACAAUAGAGUAAUAGUAAGGCAUUGUUGGAAACGCUAUUUUGCCAUUUUUUUUUUUAAAUCGUUCAAUUGAAAUAUGAAUAUUCAUAUAUAUAUAUAUAUGUAUAUAAAGGUAAAAUCGUAAAUUAAAGAAAAGGUAUUACUUUGCGGAUAAACAGCAACGGAAAAGAAAUUUGAGAUACGCACCGUAAAUCUAAAACUUUUAGUACGACAUGGAGGUCUCGUGUUUGCAAGGCGAGCCUUCGCACCGAACUUUUUUCUGGUGUCAAAUGAAACCAGAAAAAAGUCGUAGAGCGGGCCGAAAAUAGAACUUAAACAAACUUCAGGGGCGAAAACGGAAUUGUCAAAAAAAGAACUGAAAAAUAUGGCUCCAAAUCUCUCUCAUUCUCCGGCGUACAAAAUUGGAAAACGAAAAACAUCAAUCCCGCCAUCGCUGGGAAGGUUCUGGAACAAGAGCACUUUGAGCUCGCUUGAAUAUCCGAUUCGAGACUAGAGAUCGAUUUGAUUCUGACUCGGGCAUCAUCAAUCGAUCGAAUCGCUCGAAUAGGUUGAGAUUCCAUGGAGGGAGCGGGGCUCAGAAGUAGAGAAAGCUCGGCUGCUGAGCUCGGCUCUCGAGUUCGGAUUCGACGAGCAAUCCGCCAACAAGUGCUUGGACCAUCUCGUUUCGUGCUCUACAGUGACUCGAAUCGUUAUUUCGUCGCGCGUUCUUAUGCUAAUUAGCAUUUGCGGAGAUUACGGAGGUGGCUCUCGUCCCCACGAUGAUGAUGACGAUGGCUGUGGAAUCGUCUUGCUUUAGGUUUGAAUGCAUUGGAGCGGGUUUAGCGAAGUAGCAGUCCUACUGACGAGCGAAAUCUCCGGCACUGGUCCAGCUUGAUGUGCUUAGGUUACUUCGGAUGGACGGCGGUUUUUUCUUGAUUAUUGGCCCAAACUACGUGAUGUCUGGUCAUCAGGGAAUGAAUGACUUUAAUCGCUUGUGUUGCGGGGAUAGUUUGUGCAUUUGAUUGAACGUGCAUUCCUAGUUAAGGAGAUUCUUUGCGGUUAGUCUCGAUUCUGAUGAUGGCUAUGGAAUAACGGUCUACUUUGGAUUUGAAUGGGACCAGAGUUUAGGUCAUUGAGCGUUAGUCUCAUCCCCUGUUUCUUUGUGGGUUUGGCGGAGUAGUCCUAUUAACAAGUGAACUGUCUAGCUUAUAUCACUGCAAAUUACUUAUGGUAUCUUGCAGUAAUAGCAAUAUCGUGUCUCUUUGAACUAAGUGCAAAUUACAUAUUGGAAAUUGUAUAUAUUUGAUCUCUUGUUUGCCAUGGAUCUUGCAAAAUCAUCUCUUUCUUCUUUUGCUUUUCUCAAGGUGAUGAAGGUCGAGAGUUGAUCACCGUGGAGCACUGUGGCAAUGACACCCUAGCAGAACUUGUUGAAACCAUGCAAGAUUCUUAGGAUUGGGAUGAUUUGCAAGCUGUGGAAUCAGAAGCUCGUGGAGUUUCGACCAAUAUGUUUGGCCAAGAUAUUUGUAAUGAUGGUGAAUGCAAUGUUAUACACGAUGUCAAUAUUAUAGAAGAUUCUCCACAACGUGUGAAAAAUCAAACUUUCAUUGAGGUGAGGAUUCCUCUACUGACGGUGAAGACAAAGAUGAUGUAUUGGGCAGUAAAACGGGAAGGAAAUCCUCAUGUAUAUUCCUGGCCAAAGCAGUACUCUAAGCAAUACAUCCACUCAAAUUCUGGGUAGACAAUCUUUAGAAUCCAUGGUAUGCUUCUCCGUAUGCUUCUCCCAUGGACAUAGACAAUAUUGCCAAACCACUUAAAUCAGUGUGUGACUGUACUUUUCUCUUAUAAUUUAUUCUCUGCUUGAUCAUUUCCAAUUUGCUUGUGAUUCAGCACACAUCAAAGGACCUACACAAUGGUCAUGUCCAAAAGCAUUUGGUAAAUUGCUUAUGGAGUCUCUCAUCCAAUCAACUGUCCAAUAGACAGUCAUAACUUUUGCCACUCACUUCCACACUUUUCAAGAUCCUAAAUGACAUAUUAGAACUCUUUGGUUAAUAAAGAAGUUAAUUGCAGUUUUGGAUGAUGUACAAAUACAUAAAUUUCUCAAAUGCCAUGAGAGUACAGCAGAUCAUCAAAGUGUGGAACUUAGCAAUCCAGUGCCUUUGAUAGGAAUGUUUUGUGUAAAUGAAGGCUUGUAAUUUCUUUGAGCACAUUUUUCAUUUUCCAUGACAAUCCAUGUCAGAAACUAUUACGGUACGGAAGAGGCUUAUUUCUGUUGGACUAUAAGAGCACUGUCACUCAAGGCUCAAUAUCAUUAGUUUCAAAUAAAAUACAUUGCUCUCCAAUUUCGACAUCCAAACAAGGGACUUUGAGUUAUGCGGAAUUCCAAGCCUUGGAUGACUUAGAAUUGGCAAAUGUUGUCAUAUUCAAAAACAAGGCAUUUCGACCAAUGCAGCAUCAGGCUUAUAAAGCUUUUGUAGCCAAGCAAGUUUGCUUUAUUCUCAUGUCCACUGGAGGUGGUAAAAGUUUAUGUUACCAGGUUAGUGAAUGUUAACAUUGUCACAACUGGGUGAUGAUUGUAUGUAGAAGUGUGUGGACACAAUGUUAGAGCACAAGCCCUGUGCACUUUGCUCAGUGGUUCUACCAAUUAAAUGUUUAAGGGUAGACUUGUAUGUCAACAUUUAAGCUUUAACAUGAUCUUCUGAUCUACUUUGUUUAGCAUUUUUAAGAAGAUUGCGAACUUAAGGAAGGAAAUGUUUUUCAAAUGAAAAUUAAGCUAUAGGAAGUGAUUCAGGUACAUAAGCAUGGGUUCCAACGUAUGGCAUCGGACAAAAGUAGAAAAGAAGGAGAUACAGUACAAUCUCGUUCUGCCUUUGCACUUCUCUAUCUGGUCUGUAAUUUUUAGGAUUUGAAGUUUGUGCUACACUUCUAGGACCUUCUAAUCGCUUACAGGAAAAUUCAUCUUGUUUAUGUAUGUUAAGUGUUGCUGUCAGUCAUAAUUCAGGUCCAAUCAAAAGGGUUAUAAGUCAAAGAGAAUCNNNNNNNNNNNNNNNNNNNNNNNNNNNNNNNNNNNNNNNNNNNNNNNNNNNNNNNNNNNNNNNNNNNNNNNNNNNNNNNNNNNNNNNNNNNNNNNNNNNNGAUAACUGAAUUAAGGAGAAGAUAUAAUCUGGAUUUAUUUAGUUGAAUUCAUAGAAGUGUUUUCUGUUUAGUCUUGAAGUAGUUGAUAUAUGUACUGAAAGUAGUUAUAAAACAAGUAGUGACAACUAGUCCUUCCUGAUCAGCUGAAGGUGAAAGGAAUAAUAAUUCUGUUGUCCCUUCCUUUCUUCAUUUGCUCUUCUGAUGUUUUUACCCUUCGUUUCAGCUGCCAGGAACUCUAAAACCAAGUGUCACAGUUGUUAUAUCUCCCUUGCUAUCUCUCAUCUUGGAUCAAAUAGUUACUGUAACCCUCAAGUACGGCAUACAAUCUACUUUCUUGAACUCUCAACAGACUGCUGCCCAAUUGGCAGUUGUCCUCAGAGAACUAAGGCAAGGUUUAGCUCUAUUGGACUUCUAAAACUUUUAUGCUGAGUGUUGUGACUGUCGAAUUAUUAACCUCCACUUCUGCUUUGCCUGCCCUUUGAGAACAGAUAAACAUCGUGCAAGCUAUUGCAUGUGACUCCUGAACGGAUUGGGGGAAAAAUAUCAUUUCUCGAGAUAUUGAAAUGCUUGCACAGAAAGGUAUUGUUUUUGAUGCACUGUAACUUUUUUCCAAAAAGGUUCUUUAUAAUUUUUUAUAUUCGAUGAUAUUUUAUUGCAGGCACAACUAGCUGGUUUUGUUGUUGAUGAGGGACAUUGCAUGAGGUAUGCGUAAUCUUUGGCAUGCCUUGUACAUGAAGAAAAAUCAUGCUAGAGUUACUUCAAAAAGAAUAAUCAUUUGUGAUGUUGCCACUGCAAAACUAUUGUCCUUAUUCCAGAUAAAUAUAAGCAACUUUCCUUUUAUAUAAGCUAACUUAAACUCUUUUUCCAAACUUUUUUGCAUUUUCUGUGUUUCUAGCCUUAUAAAUUGUCAAUGUUGCCCUAGACCUUUUGAAGCCCCUGUGAAGUUCUAAUAUAACACAAUGGAAUGUUCCUUGUUUGAGCUUUGGAAAAGAUCUAGGUUCUGUCGUUUGGGAAAAUUUAGUGGCACAUCAUCAUUAUAUUGAGUAAGAGGACUCAACUUAAAUAAGCUGCAAUGGAAAUGACUUCCUAAAGUAAUUGGAAGUGGCAUAAGCUUGGACAAGGAUGCCAUCUACUGUCUAUGUUUGGCAUGAUACUCCAUCUCUUCAGCUGGUUCCUGUGUAUCUAUUUAUUCUACUAAUGGUUACACUCACGUGAUCAUUGAUUGUGUUCCUUACAAGGUAUUAACUGGAUUUGCUUGGCCAGUUUAAUCUCAUGAAAGGAAGAUGCCAUCUGCUAUCUAUGUUUGGCAUGAUACUCAGUCUUUUAAGCUCGUUCUUGUGUAUCUAUUUAUUCUAUUAAUGGUUAUACUAUAUACUGACAACGUGAGAAAGGCAAGGGUCCACCACAUGAUCAUUGAUUGUGUUUCUUAAAAGGUAUUCACUGGAUUUGCUCUGCCAAUUUAAUCUCAUGAAAGGAACGUGUUGCUAAUUUGAGCUUUUAUUGUACAUUUGCCUGAUUGACGACAAGAGCUCAUUAGUUGUCACUUUCGUGGUUGUCAUGAAAGGAACGUACUGCUGGUUUGAGCUUUUAUAUAUGCUAACUUAAGCUCUUUUUCCAAACUUCUCUGCAUUUUCUGUGUUUCUAGCCAAUUUAAUUGUCCAUGUUACUCUAGACCUUCUGAAGCCCAGAACCCUAUGAAGUUUCUAUAUAACAGAAUGCAGUGUUCCUUGUUCGAUGGAAAGAUUUAGGCUCCGUCGUUUGGGAACACUUAGUGGCACAUCUUUCAUUAUAUUGAGUAAAGAGUGCACAACUUAAAUAAGCUCCAGUGGAAAUUAUUUCCCAGAGUAAUUGGAAUCGGCAUAAGCUUGGAUAAGGAUCCAAUCUCCUAUCUAUGUUUGGCAUGAUACUCUUAAGCUGGUUCUUGUGUCCCCGUUUAUUCUAUUAAUGCUUAUACUUUAUGGUAACAACUUGAGAAAGGCAAAGGUUCAACCAUGUGAUCAUUGAUUGUGUUUCUUACAAGGUCUUAACUGGAUUUGCUCUGCCAGUUGAUCUCGUGAAAGGAACAUGCUGCUGGUUUGAGCUUCUCUUGUACAUUUGACUGAUUAACGAGUAAAACUCAAUGAUUGUCACUUUUGUGGUUGUCAUUAUUAGUCAAGGGGGACACGAUUUUCAUCUAGAUUAUAGGGUACUAGGAUGUCUCAAGCAGAACUUUCUGUAUGUCCCAGUGAUGGCCUUAACUGCAACCGCCACUCUGUCAGUUCAUGAGUACUAAACUCACAUAUUAACCUCCUGAUUAUGUUGAAAUAAUCUGUUAAUUCUGACUGAAUUAUACAUCCAUCGCAGGAUAUCCUAAAAGCUCUUGGGGUACCCCAUGUUCUGAUAUAUUAGAUCUAGUCUGUCAAAGCUUGGGGACCUAAGGUUUGACAGACUAGAUCUAAAAUACGAGGUCAUAGCUAAGACCUAGGAACCACUGAAGCAGCUUGGAGGGCUGCUAAAAAAUUGUUUUGCUAAUUUUUGUGGCAUAGUAUAUUACUUUUCGUUAAUGUCGCAAAAUACUUGAAUGAGAAGCGCCAUAUAAAAAUGGUGUACUAUCAUGCUGGAUUAGUAGCUCGUCACUGUUCAAAAGAAAUGGCAUACUAGAGAGGUCCAGAUUGUAUGUGCUACCAUUGCCUUUGGGAUGGGAAUAGACAAAUUGUAAUUCGAAACGGACUCUGGCCUUUGCCUAUUUCUUACGUUUUAGAAGUCAAUAAAUGUGGUAAAAAGACCCAGAGAAGCAGAGAAGAGGAGGGUGGCCAGAUACAAGCUUUAUUUGGUCGAGGGCAAGUUCAAGGCUUCUUUCAAACAAGGGUUCCGGUGGUUGAAGCGCAAAUUGCUCGAGCUUUAUGCGUCGAUUUUUAAUAUGUAGAAAUCACAGAAUAUCAUGCUGAUUGUCAUCAAGAGAGAAAAGGAUGAAAUUGGUCGGGAGGAAACAAAGAGGUUUGUUUUGUUUAUUGGCUAAUCAUCUUAAUAUGUAUCUAAUGGUAAUUAAGUAUUCGGAGGAGUGCCACAAUGUUUGAUCUUUCCAGUAUAAUGUUUGUUCAAAUCCUUGUUUCUUUCAUUGAUCUCUAGCAUUCGAAACAUAGGGAAAUGAGACGACUUGUAUGUGAUAUUCACAUAUAUUUAUAUUUAUCAAAAGUUAUUUUUCCCCGAAUUUCCUUACCUUCCAAUUUAUCUGCAACACGAUUCUGCAUGCAUGCAUGCUUUCUCGUGCGAAGUAAAAAUUGUCGGAUAUGCUAAUUUCUCUUCUCAGCGACACGAUGUUGAUUGCAAAAUAAGAUGACUGCUUUCAUUUGUAGGAUUUGACGUUUACACGAAAGUAGAUUUCGUUGUUAAGAACCUUUUUUUUUUUUUAUCAAAUGUUCUUUUAAGUCUCUGUUUUGGGGUUCAUUAACGCUGUAAUUCCUCAAUUUGUCUAUUUCGAUUCCUUUGCAUCAUAUGAUUUUAUCAUAUGGCAAACUACCAAAUCUAUACAUUCUAACAUGCAGCUAGCAGGUGUUAAGGCCUUCUAUACUUCCAUUCUGAUUCAAGGAUUCAUAUUUCAAGUACUGUCUUGUCGAGUUUGGAGUUACAAAUGUGAGGAAAUCAAAGAGCUCGAAGCGAACCUUCUCUUGUCCUUUGGGAACUUACGUAGUUAUUGUUUGAAUGGCUGUUAUUCAUAGGAUAUUGAUGUAAAAUGUGAUAAGAACUUUCAAAAACAAGCACGAAGCAAAUUGUUAGCAUGAAAUGAAAGUAGAAGAGAAAAAGGGGGGGAACCCAUGAACAAAACCACAUCAGCUCAAUCGGUUCAGAAUGUUCAUCCAAUUAUCCGGUCUAUUUACGCGUUCCAACUUCAAACCAAUUCGGCUGAUGGGGCUGUGAACGAUGUUCCAUAAGUAGUCAAACACAAAGCUAUUGCCCUUUGGAUUAAUUUGCCUAGACACUGAUUAAGCAGCUAAGUAAAUAAAGUGUAGAGCUGAUACAUUGACUUUACUCGCGACUUUUCUCGUGUAAUGUUCAACCAAUAUUCUGAAAUUAAAUUAUUUCAUAUUAAGGAUUUUUAACAAGUAUUUCAACACGACCCGCAUUGCAUAUGUGUUAAUACUUAUAGAUUCAAAUGCAGCUUAACAAGCUACUUGGCCUUGUCUUGAGCUCUGGAAAAAUUGGGUCAAAGUUCAAGGGGAUAACAAGCAAAUCAAACCAUGAAUACCUUGCAAGUAGCUUUCAACUACUAAAAUUCCACUACUGUAGAUCAAACCAUGUACAGGGUACAGGAAUAUCUAAGAGUGGCCUCCAAGAAAUUGCUUCGAUUGAAACUUGAAUGUGUGAACAGUGACUGCAAUUUGGUGGGGUGUCGUCUCAUUAUAAACCAAUUAGAUGACCCUUAGAAGUUUUUUGUUCAAAGACAAUGAGUAAAUUUUGGAAAGGGCUCUUUUCACCCUUGCAAAAAUUUUGUCCACGUUUUAUCAUUAGUCUUCAACUGCAGCCAAUGCAAAAGAAAAAUAGGUUUCAGGUGUGAAAAUAUAUACGGUUGGGUCUCUUCAGCUUUUAGAUUCAUGCUUAAAUAAAUCAAGUUUGAGAUUAUACAAUAAAAAAGUGAUUGCAAAAUGCGGACAUAUGAAUUUUCUGAUAUAACACCAGACCAGAGAGAUGAUUUUACACUACUGAACACCUUUCUUUUGUGUUCAAAAUUCAACCAAAUGAAAAACUACUGUCUUCUUGUAAACCUUUUCACUGAAACUCUUGGCUGCAAUUGACAGAUUUUUGCUGAUUCCAUGGCAUUCGAUUUUUCUAGUUGCAAAAUUGUAGCCUGAAGUGGACAUCUAACUGGUAAUCUCCUUGACAAAUCUCAUUUUAUGCUUAACUUGCACAAAUAAAAUCACCUGCAUGUGCAGUCUUCCUGCAAGCGAUAUGUGCUUGCAAAGGACAAAUAAUCGACAUGAGAAGAGGUUGCUUCAUAUCCAGAAUCCUUUGAAGAGUAUUGACAACAAGGAGCACAUGAUAAACGCCACUAGGUUUAGAUACAUUUUCAUAAUGACAUAGCUCAUUCCUGCCUACAUCUCCAUCGUGUAGUCUUUAGGGACUUUCCUCCAAGUUCCAUGAAACGCAACUUGAAUCUACAUGAUGAGCAUAGGACUGACUCAUUAUCAAUAAAUAAAGAAAUGCGAGAUUGAGCAUCACAAUUUACCCCAUGAAAGAUAAGGUACAAAUGCGAAAACACCAUUUACACCAAUCAUUGUUCAACCACAGUGAACAGAGACUUCAUCAGCUAGCAGAUGAAAAAGAAAAAAAAUAGGCUUAAAAGAAGUAAACAAUUAGCAACAACACUUUCCUCAUUUGUGUUCAGGAACAAAAUUGAUGUUAAUAAAAUUAUGCUGAAAAGGUGAAAUGCGUAAACUACAGAACAAAAAGACGUACUUGUUACUUGAUCAUUGGCAAUAUUGAAUCAACAAAAAUCAGUAAUUCGGGAUAGAUUGUGAGGAGGUCAGUUUCAACUUCACUAAUUCAAUACUGCAAACAUGAGAGCUGAGCUUAUCAAAUCAGAAACCUAUAUGACAACAUUCAAAGGAUAAACAGAUAGAAAUGGAGGAGCUUAGUGCAUACCUACCUCUGCAUAGCCUCAUAAGUUCAGGAGUGAUAUCCCUAGAAUGCAACCACACCAAACAACUCUGCAUCAGGAUAACAUACACAAAAAUCACCAGCUACUCGUUUGAUUAACAAAGAGAUAGAACCUAGCGAGCAUACAAACAACAGUUCAAUUUAAAAAACUACAUUUACUAUAUUUAGGUACAUGCUGUUGAGACCAGAUCAAGUGCUUUGGAUCUUCACAAGCAUCAAAACUUCCUCAGAACAUUCUACUUGGCCCAUGAGCCUCUUCAAGUUUGGCACCUCAGCUGUUGCUGAUGCUUUCUCUGCAAAAUUGGUCUUGGGUUUGGAAUUUGAAGUUCCUCAGCCGAGUGAGCCACACCUAAUUCAAUCAUGUGAUAAAAUAAUUCCAUGACAACAAUAUGAUCAAAUGGGAUGUAAACUAAUCAGCAAAUUCUUGAGCUCCUUGCCCCAGCUUGUUUCACAGCUGGGCAAAAAAUUGUCUAGUUAUGCGAAAGGUCAUCAAUACAACUGAUUGAAUUUAAGUCCCAAAGUAAGCCUUGAUCAUUACAUAGACCAACCAAACCUGUAAUAGAAGUAGCACUAGUUUACCUUGCUUGAUAAUAUUUCAAGACAACAUUUUGACUACUGGUAAUUUUAAGAAAGGCGUACAUUCAUAUAUGAUAGACUAGCCAAAACUACUUUAACAUUUCUUAAUCACCAACCAAAAAUACACCGAUUCUCGUUCAAGAAAAAGACCCUAUAUAAACUCCAUGCACACUAGAGACUUAGGCAAACCUUUGAUCGAGAAUUUGCAUAAAACAACUCAAUACUCCACUCCAGACCCCAGUACUUGAUCGAGAAUUUGCCAAGCGGUGCAAGCUCCAUGCGUCCACUUGAGAGAAUCUGGAAGGGGAAAAGUGAUGCUGCUCUUCAAGAACGAACUGGUCUCUCUACUUGGUUUAAGGUAUGAAAAUGUACAUGGCUAUGUCUCUUCUGCUUUUAGAUUCGUGCUUAAAUAAGUCAAGUUUGAGAUAAUACGACCAAAGCGAUUGCAAAAUGCCUACAUAUGAAUUUUCCGAUGUAACCAGCCUAGAAAGAUGAUUUUACACUAAUGAACGCCUGUAUUUUCUGCUCUAAGUUCUUCCAAACGAGAAACUACUGUCUUCUUGAAAGCCUUUUCAUUGAAACUCUUGGCUGCAAUUGAUGGAUUAUUUGCUGAUUCCACGGCAUUUGCUUUUCUCUCCCCCAGUCUCAAAACUGUAGCUUGAAGUGGACAUCUAAAUGGUAUUCUUGUUAACAAAUCUCAUUUUUUGCUUGACUUCACAUAUAGAACCACUUGCACAUGUGGUCUUCCUCCAAGCGAUUAGUGAUGGGGCCUUGGUUAAAGAAUAGCAAGAUUUCAAAGCUUGCAAAGGACUAAUACACCACAUGAGAAGAGGUCGCCUUUAUCAAGAAUCCUUCGAAGAGUAUUAAACAACAUGGAGCAAAUGAUAAACGCCAAUUGCAAAUAACUUUGGAAUGCCUUUCCAUACUGGCAUAGCUCAUUCUUGCCCAUAUCUCCAACCCGUGGUGUUUGGGGAGUUUCUUCGAGUUUCAUCAAAUGUAGCUUUAAUCUGCAUAAGGAAGAUAGCACUGACUAAUUAUAAUUAAAUGAAGAUAUCCAAGAUCAUAGCAUUAGAAUUUACCCCAUGACAGAUAAGGUAAAAAUGUGUAAACAUUGACACCAAUUGGAGUUGCACCACAAUGAACAGAGACUUCAUUAGCUGGCCAAUGACAAAGAAACCAACAGACUUAAAAGAAGUAAACAUUUAGCAACACUUUCCCUGUUUGUGCUUAGGAACAGAAUUGAAACUAAAAAAAUUACGCUGAAAAGGUGAAGUGCCUAAACUACAGAACAAAAAAAGAUGCAUUUGCUACUGGGUUAUUUUGCAAGUACCAAUUAGCAAAAUCAGCAAUGCGGGAUCGUUUGCGAGGAGGUCAAUUUCAACUUUACAUAUUGAAUGUUGCAUACAUCAGAACUGAGCUUAUCAAAUCAGAAACCUAUAUGACAACAUUCAAAGGAUAUCAUCACACGAAUAAACUAAUAGAGAGAGGAGCCUAGCAGUGCAUACCUCCCUCUGCAGAGCCUCAUCAAUUCCGAAGUGAUAUCAUUAGAAUGCAACCGCGUCGAACAACUGUGCAUCAGGGUAACAUACAAAAAAUCAGUAGCUUAGUAUUUGAUUAAAGGAGAGCUAGAACCUAAUGAGCAUACAUAAAACAUAUUUAAUUGAAAAAAAAAAUACAUUUACAAUCGUUUAGGGAUGUGAUGUUGAUAUCAGAUCAAGUAUUUGAAUAUUCAGAAGCAUCAAAACUUCAUUGGGACACUCCAGUCAGCCCCAGAGUGUCUUUAAGUUUGGCAUGCAAGAUGGUCCUCAGCUGUUGCAGAUGCUUCCUCUGCAAAAUCCCUCUUCUUUAUUUUGAUCGGUCUCAAGUAUGGAAUUUGAAGUUCCUCAGCCGACUUAGCCACGCCCAAAUCAAUCAUGUGAUAAAGCAAUUCCAUGACAACAAUAGGAUCAAAUGGGAUACAAACUAAUUAGCAAAUUCUCGAGCUCCUCAUCCUAGUUUGUUUCACAGACAGGCAAAAAAUUGUCCUUUAAUGCAAAAGGUCAUUGAUAGAGUUGAUUGAAUUGAAGUCCCAAAGCAAGCCUAGAUCGUCAUAUAGACCAACCAAACCUGUCAUAGAAGCGGCACCAAUUUACCUUGGUUAAUAAUCUUUCAAAUCAAUAGUUUGCCCGCUGGUAAUGUUAAGGUGGUCAACAUUCAUACAUGACAAACUAGCCAAAACUACUUUAACAUUUUUUGUCACCAACCAGAAACACUUGAACCUUGAAUUUUAUUUUAGCUCAGUUCACCAUAUAUACUGGGAAGUGAUGCUCUUCUUAGAGGGUUAGUGAGGGCCAUCAAGGGAACAAU